GCAAAUCAUUAACACCUGCAUGAAUGACCAGAAGGAUAAGUUGUGGCCCAUGCUUCAAAAGCUUAAUGUUACCAUGAAGUCUGAUGAGAAGGAAUUGGUUGGCAAGGCUUUGAUGAAGCGUGUUAUGCAAACUUGGCUUCCAGCUAGUACUGCACUGCUUGAGAUGAUGAUAUUCCACCUUCCUUCCCCAUCAAAGGCACAAAAGUAUCGUGUGGAGAACUUGUACGAGGGACCCCUUGAUGAUAUCUAUGCUACUGCUAUCAGGAACUGUGAUCCGGAGGGUCCUCUUAUGCUGUAUGUUUCUAAGAUGAUUCCAGCAUCUGACAAGGGCAGGUUCUUCGCCUUUGGUCGUGUCUUCUCUGGGAAGGUUGCUACUGGUAUGAAGGUUAGGAUCAUGGGUCCCAACUAUGUCCCUGGCCAGAAGAAGGAUCUGUACGUCAAGAGUGUCCAGCGUACUGUUAUCUGGAUGGGAAAGAAACAAGAGUCUGUUGAGGAUGUUCCUUGUGGUAACACUGUUGCUAUGGUUGGUCUGGAUCAGUUCAUCACGAAGAAUGCUACACUCACCAAUGAGAAGGAGGUUGAUGCAUGCCCAAUCAGAGCAAUGAAGUUCUCUGUCUCCCCUGUUGUGCGCGUUGCUGUUCAGUGCAAGGUUGCCUCUGACCUACCCAAGCUCGUUGAAGGUUUGAAGCGUCUGGCAAAGUCUGAUCCUAUGGUCCUCUGUACAAUUGAAGAAUCUGGUGAGCAUAUUAUUGCUGGAGCUGGUGAGCUUCACCUUGAGAUUUGCCUGAAGGAUCUGCAGGAAGACUUCAUGGGUGGUGCUGAAAUUAUUGUUUCUCCUCCUGUUGUCUCUUUCCGUGAAACUGUUCUUGAGAAAUCCUGCCGAACAGUCAUGAGCAAGUCCCCCAACAAGCACAACCGUCUUUACAUGGAAGCCCGUCCCUUGGAAGAGGGUCUCCCUGAGGCUAUUGAUGAGGGCCGCAUUGGUCCACGUGAUGAUCCCAAGGUUCGCUCCAAGAUCCUCUCUGAGGAGUUUGGUUGGGACAAGGAUCUUGCCAAGAAGAUUUGGUGCUUUGGACCUGAGACCACUGGCCCGAACAUGGUUGUUGAUAUGUGUAAGGGAGUGCAGUACCUCAAUGAAAUCAAGGAUUCUGUUGUGGCUGGCUUCCAGUGGGCCUCAAAGGAGGGUGCACUGGCUGAGGAGAACAUGCGUGGCAUCUGCUUUGAGGUCUGUGAUGUUGUUCUUCAUGCUGAUGCAAUUCACAGGGGUGGUGGCCAGGUCAUUCCAACUGCCAGGAGGGUUAUUUAUGCUUCUCAGCUCACUGCCAAGCCAAGGCUGCUCGAGCCAGUUUACCUUGUGGAGAUCCAGGCCCCAGAAAAUGCACUUGGUGGUAUCUAUGGUGUUCUGAACCAGAAGAGAGGGCACGUGUUUGAGGAGAUGCAGAGGCCUGGUACCCCGCUCUACAACAUCAAGGCUUACCUCCCUGUCAUCGAGUCCUUUGGGUUCUCCAGCCAACUGAGGGCUGCAACCUCUGGCCAGGCGUUCCCUCAGUGUGUGUUUGACCACUGGGACAUGAUGGGCUCUGAUCCUCUGGAGGCCGGCUCCCAGGCUGCUCAGCUGGUGUUGGAUAUCCGCAAGAGGAAGGGUCUCAAGGAGCAGAUGACCCCUCUUUCUGAGUUUGAGGACAAGCUCUAAAUUUUGGUGGUUUGUGCUGCUGUUACCCAUGCUGGUUUCAUGGCCAAUUCGUCUACUGUAACUGGAACUACUUUCAUGUUUCAUUUCCUUUAGUUGUCAGAUGCAUCUGUUUUUGAACAUCAUUGGCCAUAUGGCAUUGUGCUGCUAAGACUGUAUUUUGUUAUCCGGUUGUGAUGUAACAGAUGAAAUAGAGUUCAUAUCUGUGGUUUAAGUGGUAGUAUUUGCGGUAUAAUGCUUGUUUCUACUGCCUUCUGAAAGCCUUUCUUUUGCCUAACGGUAGAGCGGAUUAACUAAGGGUGUUGUAUCAUUUGAUUCAUUUGAUCCUUCAUCAAGGAUGAAGCCAUCUCCUCAUGGGAACACAUUAUUCUACUAUUAGAAGCGAAGAUGUAACAAAUUAGUUGAAAGAGGAGCGUUGAAAGAGGAGCGAACCAUACUUUACUAUAUGGUAAGUAGCAAAUUAGUUACAAGUAGCAAAUUAGUUGAACUUUAGGAUCAUGCACGUUGAACCUUGUUAUCUAGGAUCAUCCAUGGAUCAUGCACGUUGAACCUUGCUAACUAGGAUCAUGCACGUUGACCCUUGUUAUCUAGGAUCAUCCAUGGAUCAUACACGUUGAACUUUGCUAUCUAGGAUUAUCCAUGUAUGCAUCAUGUAGUGCAUCUGUGCAUGCAAUAUUCUGUUAUCUAGGAUCAUCCAUGGAUCAUACACGUUGAACUUUGCUAUCUAGGAUUAUCCAUGUAUACAUCAUGUAGUGCAUCUGUGCAUGCAAUAUUCUGCCCUUAGCUUGGUUUUACUGCCGAUAGCUAUAUAGUGCAUUUAAAUGCUUUUCUUUUGCCCACAGCCCCAGAGGUAGAGAGGACUAACUGUUUCUGUUGCUUUUUUUUUUUACGGUCUACGGGAGAGAGUGUGUGUGUGUGUUGGGGGUGGGAGCGCCCCCACCUGAUUUUCAUUUCAUUGAGGGUCUGUUUCAGGCCAAACGCUGUGUAGAUCAAAAGGAGAUAGAGAGAGGCAGUGUACAUCUGGUUUUGUGAUUGUUUUACAUCGAAGCAAAGACAGUGCACCAGGAGUCGGUUAUCACGCGAUCCUCUAUGCGAAACCGCUCGCGCCAAAGUCGGGCUUCGUCUCGGCAUGCCGACCAGAAGCGUUGUUGAGAUGGAGCGCAGCGCUGGAACACUGGGUCAUUCCGGUGCUUCCAUAACACCCACGGCAGAAGGAGUUUUUUCUUGCUUUGCCUUUAGCUUGGCUUUAAUCCUGUUAGCUAUGCCUAUGUAGAGCAUUUGGUCCUUCGAAUUUUAAAUCGAUGUUGAUUUUGAUUGCAUGCCGUCAUUUUGGGUUGGUUCCAACUAUGUUUUUAAUAUCAGUCGUUCUGAAGGUUACUCUGUUGACACUUGAUUGCAUAACCGUUUGCUAGUUUUGCGUGCAUCCGCGUGCUGGUUCGUCUCAUCAAGAACUAGCCGUUGCUCAAAACUCUGGCUUUCAGGCAUGGCCGCAACAGCCUGGAGGAUGUGUUGCUGUUCUGUAGCUGUAGUGUGCGUCUGUGCUAGUGGAUGCAGGGAGCCAGCGACCUAAAAGGAAUCGUGUAUUAGUGGAUGCAGGACAUCGGCCGUGGCGGCCUGGGGGAGACGACCACGCUCGACAUGAACGGCAGUAAGUUCAAUGGCACGAUCCCGGCGUCGCUUACCGGCCUAUGGAGCCUCCAGUAUCUAGAUGUGAGCGGCAACCGCUUCACCGGCACCAUCCCAGCGUUGCUAUCUGGACUCCGGAACCUCCAGCUUCUCGGCCUGAAUGACAACCUCUUCACCGGCACCAUCCCGGCGGACCUCGGCGAGCUGGCGAGCCUUCACAUGCUGUAUCUGGCAAACAACCAGUUCGAUGCAGGCCAGCUGCCGUCGUCGUUCAAGAACCUGACCAACCUGGUCAGCCUCUGGGCGUCGCAGUGCAACCUCGUCGGAGAGUUCCCGAACUUUCUUUGGAGCCUGAAGGAGCUGCAACUAUUGAAUCUGUACACGAACAACCUCACCGGCAACUUGGUGGUUGAUGGCCUUGUUGCGAGGAACUUGACAGUAAUCGACGUCUCGGAGAACAAGAUCACUGGAGUUAUCCCGAGUGUUUGGGAGCUUGGAGAACCUCAGAGACUUGAACUUCUUCAUGAACAACUUCUCCAGCGAGAUACCAGCCAGCAUCGGCCGGUUGCCCUCACUGACGAGGUUGAGGCUCCACACCAACAUGCUUAACGGCACGCUCCCACCGGAGCUCGGAAAGCAAUCGCCGGGCUUGAAUUAUGUUGAGGUUGAUUACAAUGAGCUCACCGCCGAGAUCCCGGAAGGGCUGUGCACUGGAGACAACCUCCAGCACCUCACCGCCAAGAGCAACCAAUUGAACGGCUCCAUCCCAGCAGGCCUUGCCAACUGCGCCACUCUUGGAACCCUGUCGCUGGACAACAACCAACUCUCUGGCGACGUACCAGAGGCUCUGUGGACGGCGACGAAGCUUUACCAGAGGCUCUUCCGGCCACGGUGCAUCUCAACCUUUCGACGAUACUCAUAGGGAACAACCAAUUUGGUGGCAACAUUCCGGCUGCACUAGCUGCGCUCCAGGUGUUCACCGCCGAGAACAACCGGUUUUCUGGUGCGAUACCGGCGAGUCUUGGCGACGGCAUGCCGCUGCUGCAAAGACUGAACUUAUCCGGUAACCAACUGUCCGACGGGAUCCCCAGAAGCGUUGCUAAGCUAAGCCAGCUGACGGAAAUGGACCUGAGCAGGAAUCAGCUCACCGGAGGCAUACCGGUAGAGCUCGGCGCCAUGCCGGUGUUAAGUGUCCUUAACCUGUCGUCGAACAAGCUCUCCGGCAACGUGCCGCAGGCGCUUGCGAAGCCGACACUCACCGCCCUAACCUGUCCUCGAACCAUCAGACCGGCCAGGUCCCGGCCGGGUUCGCCACCGCGGUCUACGACACCAGCUUCCUCAACAACCCCGGCCUCUGCACCGCCGCUUGGGGACCUGGCUACCUCACGGGCGUACGCUCCUGCGCCGGUGGAUCACAAGACGGCGGUUCCUCCGGAGGCGUGUCGCACGCCCUGCGCAGGGGAACCUCGCCGUGGCGUUCGCCUUCUUCGUCGUCCGCGACAUCAAGAAACGGCGGCGCGUCGCGGAGCAAGACAACUGGAAGAUCACGCCUUUCGUCAAAGAUCUGGGAUUCGGUGAGGCACCCAUACUCCGGGGGCUGACGGAGGAGAACCUCGUCGGGCGCGGGGGAUCGGGGCGCGUGUACCGCGUCGCCUACACCAACCGGCUUAACGGCCGAGCCGGCGCGGUGGCCGUAAAGCAAAUACGGACCGCCGGGAAGCUCGACCAGAAGCUGGAACGCGAAUUCGCGUCAGAGGCUGGCAUCAUCGGCAACCUCCGGCACAACAACAUCGUCAAGCUCUUGUGUUGCCGCUCCAGCGCCGAGUCCAAGCUCCUCGUGUACGACUAUGGACAACGGCAUCCUGGACAGGUGGCUCCACGGCGACGCCCUCGUCGCCGGCGGGCGCCCCAUGGCGAGGGCGCGGUCCGCGCGGCGCGAGCCGCUGGACUGGCCGGCGAGGCUCAGGGUGGCCGUCGACGCCGCGCAGGGGCUGUGCUACAUGCACCACGAGUACGAGCCGCCCAUCGUCCACCGCGACGUCAAGACGAGCAACAUCCUGCUGGACUCGGAGUUCCGGGCCAAGAUCGCCGACUUCGGGCUGGCCACAGGAUGCUGCUGCAGGCCGGGGCGCCGGAAACGAUGUCCGCCGUCGCUGGCUCGUUCGGCUACAUGGCUCCUGGUAAGGAUUCGAACUUGCUGCUUUCAGUGAAUUUCUGUCCCAUUUCUACAAAUGCCACGUGUUCUCGUGUUGCCGGACCUUAGAUUGGGCCUUUUGAUGCUUAUCUGCAGAGUGUGCUUACACCAAGAAGGUGAACGAGAAGGUAGACAGCUUCGGUGUCAUUCUCCUGGAGCUCACCACCGGAAAGGAGGCCAACAACGGCGGCGAGCACGGCUGCCUGGCGGACUGGGCACGGCGCCACUACCAAUCAGGAGGGAGCAUCGCCGACGCCACAGACAAGAGCAUCAGAUACGACGGGUACUCUGACGAGAUCCAGGUUGUCUUCAGGCUCGGCGUGCUCUGCACCGCCGAUAUGCCGUCGUCGCGGCCAACCAUGAACGACGUGCUGCAGAUCUUGGUCAAGUGCAGCGAGCAGACGUACCACAAGGGCAAGACGGAGCGUGGCCCAGAGUAUGAGGUGGCUCUUCUACCCAAACGCGGCAGUCGCCGGAAACAGCUUUCAAACGGCUCGGGGAUUUACAUCGAAGAGAAGAUGACAGCAUUGUCUGAAGAAAGGAACUGACCACUGCAUAUGCCAGUAAGCAGCUUGUGACAUCGUCAGUGAACUGCUUGCUAUAGUGAUACUUCACAUUUUAGCAGAGUACAGCGGAGAAUUAUGCCUCUAAUCUUUUUUUUUCUGAGGAGCUAAGUAUCUUUAUAUUAAAAAGAGAAUAUAAAUAGAAAAAAUCAGUCCAUUGGAAGCAACCACUCUAGCUCACCUAGGAGAAUAGAGAGAUUGCAUAAACAAGCGAAGAAAAAACCGUCACCAGACCUUGACCCUGCACGGCUGGACUAGGGACAUGCAUAGUAUAGAGCAGGGCUUGUGGUUAGCCAAACCGUUCUGUGUAUUGAUACUGCAAAUCUGUAUUAAAUCACACACACAUUAUACGUUCCGACAGAAGAACUAGCAAACAUUACGAUUAUACUCCCUCCGUUCUUAAAUAUAUAACGCUAUUGACUUUUUCAUUUGUUUGACUAUUCAUCUUUUCUACAAAUAUUUUUGCAAAUAGAUAAAUCUACGAGUUAAAUCUAAAGUACAUUUCACAAUAGUCAUAAUGAUACACAUUUUACUUUAGUUAACUAACUCAUUCAAUAGAUAUUGAUGGUCAAAGUUGGAGUAAAAAGCCAACAGCAUCAUAUAUUUAAGAAUGGAGGGAGUAAUUUAUUUCUGAAAUAAAGGCAGGAGAUGGAGCUCUGCUUAUCCAUUCAGAAAUUAGUACGAUUGAAUGAUUUUGUCUCCUUCCAGUUUUUAUUGUAAAACACAGAAUAUUACACGGAUAGGCACUGAUUGUUAUCCGGAAGAAAAUGAAUUUUUAUAUUUCAAAAGAAAAGGCCCAAUUUGCACCCUCUAGCUAGCACGAUAAUCCAAUUUUCAGCUAAACUGACCAUGGGCCGGCCCAAAGGCACAGGAAUUUGGCCCGGUCUAGGCAUGGCGGCCGUCGUGCUCGUGCUAACCCGACCCACACCAUGGGCCGUGCUUGGGCCGUUGCCUCAGCCCACGUACUGGUCCGGCACGGCCUGCCCAUUUGGCCCGUCGGGAUUAAGUGGGCGGCCCAUCCUAUUAAGGCCCACUCGACCGCAUAUAAAACCCCCCACCCCCAAACGGCCAAACCCUACCUUCCUCUUCGUGUCCCGCGCCCUUCGCCGCCGUCACCUCCCCCGCGCCCUUCGCCGCCUCUCGCGCCCGCCGGCCGCUCACGCCCUCCGCCGCUUCCCCCCGCCGCCUCCCUCACGCCCUCCGCCGCAUCCUCCCACCGCCUCCCUCGUGCCCUCCGCCACCUCCCGCGCCCGCCGGCCUCUCGCUCCCCUGCCACCUCCCCCGCGGCCCUCUGCCGCCUCCUACACCCGCCGGUCCCUUGCCGCAAUUGGGGAAGAUGGUGGCCUGCACGGCGGCGCGCGCAAACGUCCUGUCGUCCCUCGGCGGUGGGAGCUGCGGCACGAGUGGGCGCCUGGGCAGAUCCGGGAAAGGUCUAUGGGCGCCCUGACGACGAGGUGGUCGAAGUCAUCGGGGCUAUCGAACUCGACGACGACAGGCGCUACGGGCGUAUGAGCAGAGGAAGGGUGAAUUCUGUGCCGCAGGCUGGCACGAGCACGGUGAGGCCGUUAAGGCCUGCCAGGCCAGCGUGCCAGCACGGCCCACCUAAGAAGGCUGCGGGUCAUGCCUGGACCGCUCCUUCGGCACAUGGGCCGGCACGGCCUGGCACUAUUACCGUGCAAGCCUAACCGUGCCGGGCCUAACCGUGCCAGGCCAAAUCGUGCUCGUGCCAGGCCGGGUUGGGCUACCUGUUUGGCCAUCUAUACAUCCAACGGUUGAAACCAGAUAAAUUUUAUCCUUUAGCUGGUUUCAAAGAUGUUUUUUUGUUUUAUUAGACAUUUAAAAAAAAUCUGAUUUAAUCUUGUUGGGGGGAAAUAUUAACGAUCCCCUAAAUACCACUUAAAGGAGCAGACGCGAAGGCCCGGGCCCACCUAAGCAUAAUCAAAACUCCGCCUCGCCCGACCGCGGCCUCAGGGUCAGGAACGCCCGACCCCCCUCCACGAGGUUUCCGCCUCGUCCGACUGCGGCCCCAGGGUCGAAGGCGCCCGAUCCCUCGCCACAAGGUUCCGCCUCGUCCGACCCCAAGCGCAGGGGUCGGGCUCGCUGGGGCCCCCAGGGCAGGCAUCCCCCUCGGAUGUGGACCAGGUGGGCAAGAUAAACAAAUCUUGCGGGUCCCCCCCCCCAUCGGCCUCGUCAUAAAUGCGCUGCGGGCCUGGCAGAGGGAGGAAUGACCACGCUCCUCACACAACCCGCCGCAAGUACCCAUGCACGACCAUACUGUACAAGCUACAGCGCUGGCGGCUCACUCCCAUUCGCCGCAGGGUACUCAUGGCCUGCGCCGACCGGAGCGGAGGAGAGACUCGCCUGUCCUCGAGCCCCGCGCACCCUCGGGUCCCGUGCGCCUGGCAUCUAGGAUGUGACGCCCUCUCUCCAGGAGCCAUCAUCAGAAUGGCAGCAUCCACCGUCCUCCCCAACGGACACCGGGAUAACGACGAAACGCCCUCAUCAUAACCCGACGCCUACGGAUGCCGAAGGAGCUAUCUGUAGGGUGCAACGACAGUUGGCGCACGGCCGCCUCCCCCUCCGGCAUGCACGCCGGCGCUCGCCAGGAGCCGGCGGAGGCGUCGGGCGUCUAGGAACUUGUUCCUCCCAUCCUGCCGUAUUUUUUACCGUACUACGUUCACAUUUUACGGUCCUCUUCGCCCGAUCCCAACUGUAACUCUGGCCACUCCCCUUGCGAUAUAAAAGGAGGAACACAGGGCCGGAGGGGGGGAUCGGCUUCUUCCCCCUCAAGCCACAGCAUGCUAGUACGCUCCCUGAGAACAUAGGCUCAAAGAGACUUGGGACCAGUCCCUCUCUCGUCGGUCUGUAACCCCUACUACAGAACCCCGCGUGGGCAAUACGAGCAUCCACGAUACUGGACGUAGGGCUCCCUUUGCUCGAACCAGUCUAAUCCGUGUCUCCCACGCCACCAUCUGAGGCCUUACGCGCAUAAAAGAAAUUUACUAGUCUAAGUCUUGAUCCGCCAAUCUUGACAACGACAGUUGGCGCGCUAGGUAGGGGACCUUUGCGCAUACCCUCCCAGCCUCAGAUGGCCAAUUACGAUAGUAGCUUUGCUCCGGGCUCCCUGAUCCGAUUCGGGAGCCUGGACUUCCUCGCCACCGGGGAAGGGAUCAAGCUGAUCCCUGUCCUCAUCCUGCCCGCUCGCCCGCCUGCCCCCGGCCCCGCCGCCGGGACAGCGGUGAGCGGCCGCUCGCAUACCGGAAGGACCUCGCCAGGGGGACGGCCCUUCGGGCUACGCAAUGCCACGGGGGCCUACGGACGCCUCCUAGCGCGGUCCAUGACCGCGUCGCCCGCGAGCAACGAGCUCGUAGGUGCGACAAGGACGAUCUCCGACACCGGCUCCAGCAGCGGGAGCCCCCACCCCUCGCGUGAGUGCCUCGUGGUCGACGAGCACUCUGAGGGAUCCAACAGCAACGAUGCCGAGGAGAGACAAAGGGCUGCCCCUCGCGCGCCGCGGCUAUGACCGGAGCCUUACCAAGGGCACCAGAGUGCUCUCAGCAACGAGAGGCGCGCGCGGGCGCCCGCCAAGAAGUCGAGCACCCCCACCACGAGGGAGGAGCGCGACAACGGGCGCGAGACGUCCAGCGACGCAUCUGCGCGGAUGAAGAGCGUCCGCAGCUUUUCGCCCGCGCCAGCCAAAACGUCGCAGCCGCGGCGGUGUUGCUCCGACAGCUCCCCGAACCAGCGAUGCCCGAGGAGCGACGGGCACGCCAAGAGAUGCGCGACCUGCUCGAAUGCGCCGCCGUCCAGCAGGCGGAAAGCUCCGCGUCCCGGCGACGCGGGCAGAAUGCCAGCAGGGCGACGCCCGACGCGCCCCCGGAAAGGCGGGGGGAAUCAGUCCAUCUACCCCCUCCUGGGGCGAAUCAGGCCGCGUCCGCCCGACGGACUCCACCACCCGCGGGAGGCGAGGCUCGAUCCGUCCACCAGCGCGUCGGCCUCGUCCGCGACGCCCGCGACACCCUAAACGCGCGGAGACGCUCCCGCGCGGACAGGGAGGACGGGGUAGAUCGAGGCUACCACGUCCACCGUGGCGGGCGCUACGACAGCGGGGAAGACCGCAGCCUGAGCCCCGGUCCGGCUGGGCCCCGGGCCUUCUGUGCGCGCAUCCUGAACGCGCCUUUUCCGCCGCGCUUCAGGCAACCCAUGAGUAUAGCCAAAUACUCAGGGGAGACGAAUCCUGGAGUGUGGCUCAGCGAUUACCGGCUUGCAUGUCAAGCCGGCGGGGCGGAUGAUGACCUGUUUAUCAUCCGCAACCUACCCCUCUUCCUAGCCGACUCAACGCGAGCUUGGCUAGAACAUAUCCCUUCGGGACGAGUUCGCAACUGGAAUGACCUGAAGGAGGUUUUCAUAGGGAACUUCCAGGGCACGUACACACGCCCCGACAAUUCCUGGGACCUCCGGAGCUGUCGUCAGGGGGCGGACGAGUCCCUCCGAGAUUAUAGCCGGCGCUUCUCCAGGAAGCGCACCGAGCUCUCCAACGUCGCGGACGCCGAUGUCAUAGGAGCUUUCCUAGCAGGAACCUCCUGCCGGCCCCUCGUCCACGAGCUGGGGUGCCGAGGCCCGCGAACCACGGAGGAGCUCCUCAAUAUCGCCACUAGUUACGCCUCGGGCGAAGAGGCCGUUGGAGCAAUCUUCGACCGCUCCAAAGGCAAGGCGAAACGGGAGGAGGUUGCUGGCGAAGGCACCUCCAACCGCCAGCAGAAGAAGAAGGGCAAGUUACGGCGCGAGGCCCCCCUCGUGGCCGCAGCUGAGCGCAAGCGAGGGCCGCCGCCCCCCGAGGGCGCUCCCGGCUUCUUCGACAAGUUGCUUGAGGGACCGUGCCCGAACCACGAGUUCCCCGUGAAGCACGCCUACAAAGACUGCAACCUCAUGAAGAGAUACUUCAUGGGCAAUUCGGUGAAAGGCGACCGGAAGCGGAAGCCCGAUGAGGAAAAGAAGGGCGACGAAGAGAAGGAAGACGGCUUCCCCAAGGUGGACGGCUGCUUCAUGAUCUUCGGGGGCUCUGCGGCAUACGACACCAAGCGCCAGUAGAAGCUGGAGCGCCGGGAGGUCUACGCGGCCGAGCCAGCGACUCCGGCCUUCCUGGACUGGUCAGGGCCGGCCAUCACCUUCGACAGGACCGACCACCCUGGACGCGUCCGGCACCCGGGGCGUUACCCUCUCGUCGUCGACCCCAUCGUCGGCACGACGCGCCUCACCAAGGUGCUCAUGGACGGAGGCAGCAGCCUCAACAUCCUCUACGCCGAGACCCUCGACGCUAUGGGGAUCGACCGUUCCCGCCUCCAUCCCAGCAAGGCGCAUUUCCAUGGCGUCGUGCCAGGGAAGCAGGCGAUGCCUCUCGGGCAAAUCGACCUGCGCGUUACGUUCGGGACCCCUUCCAACUACAGGAAGGAGGUCCUCACAUUCGAGGUGGUGGGGUUCCGCGGAACCUACCACGCCAUCUUGGGACGGCCUUGCUACGCAAAGUUCAUGGCUAUCCCCAACUACACCUACCUCAAGCUCAAGCUGCCGGGGCCCAACGGGGUCAUCACCGUCGGCACGACCUUUCAGAAGGCGUACGAGUGCGACGUAGAGUGCUGCGAGUACGCCGCGGCCAUCACCGUCACGAGCGAUUCGGCAGUCCAGCUUGCGGAGGCCACCGAGGACCGGCCCGACUCCAGGCAGCCGAACAUCUCCUUCGAGCCCGCUGAAGGUAUCAAGGAGGUCCCCCUUGAUCCCGGUUGUUCCAACGGAGGAGUCGUGCGGAUCAGCGCGGCCCUAUCCCCCAAAUAGGAAAGCGCGCUCGUUGACUUCCUCCGCGCGAACAGCGACGUCUUCGCGUGGAAGCCAUCGGACAUGCCAGGCAUUCCGAGGGAAGUCGCCGAGCACUCCUUGAACAUCAGGGCCGGUUCCAAGCCAGUAAAGCAAGGAUUGCGCCGUUUCGACGAGGAAAGGCGCAAGGCCAUCGGCGAAGAGCUCCAGAAGCUUCUGGCGGCCGGGUUCAUCAAGGAAGUGCACCACCCCGAGUGGCUAGCUAAUCCUGUCCUUGUACCAAAAAAGAAUGGGAAAUGGAGGAUGUGUGUCGAUUAUAACGGUCUCAACAAAGCGUGUCCAAAGGACCCGUUUCCUUUGCCACGCAUAGAUCAAAUAGUCGACUCAACUGCCGGGUGCGAGACCCUCAGCUUCCUCGACGCAUAUUCCGGCUACCAUCAGAUCGCGAUGAAAGAGGCCGACCAGCUCGCUACCUCCUUCAUCACCCCCUUCGGUCCCUACUGCUACGUUAAGAUGCCAUUCGGCCUCAAAAACGUGGGGGCUACCUUCCAGCGAUGCAUGCUGUAGUGCUUCGGAGACCUCAUUGGGCGGACCGUUGAGGCCUACGUUGACGACAUCGUCGUAAAAUCCCGGAGGGGCGACCAGCUCGUUCCCGUCCUUGAACUAGCCUUCGAGAGGCUGAGGGAUAAGCGUAUUAAGCUCAAUCCCAAGAAAUGUGUGUUCGGAGUCCCAAGGGGCAUGCUGUUAGGCUUCAUCGUCUCCGUGCGCGUCAUCGAAGCAAACCCGGAGAAGAUAGCGGCCAUUAGAGACAUGGGGCCGAUCCGGAACAUAAAGGGAGUUCAGCGCAUCAUGGGAUGCUUGGCAGCUCUAAGCCGCUUCAUCUCGCGCCUCGGCGAGCGAGGGCUUCCUUUCUAUCGGCUCCUGAAGAAGACUGACCGUUUCGAAUGGACCAGCGAGGCCCAGGAGGCACUUGACCGACUCAAGGACCUCCUGACGAAGGCCCCGAUCCUAGUCCCGCCUACCGACGGCGAGUCCCUCCUGCUCUACGUCGCGGCGACCACCCAGGUGGUUAGCGCGGCCUUGGUGGUGGAACGAGAAGAGGAAGGACACGCUCUCAAGGUGCAACGCCCGGUGUAUUUCAUCAGCGAAGUCUUGUCCGAGUCCAAGACACGUUACCCGCAGAUCCAGAAGCUCGUCUACGCCAUCCUUAUCACAAAGAGGAAGCUGCGCCACUACUUCACCUCCCACCCGGUAACAGUCAUUUCGUCAUUCCCGUUAGGCGAAGUAAUCCGGAACCCAAAUGCUACAGGGAGAAUCGCGAAGUGGGCGCUUGAGCUCAUGGACCAGGGUAUCACCUACGUCCCCCGCACCGCCAUCAAGUCCUAGGCACUCGCCGACUUCGUGGCAGAGUGGACGGAGAUUCAAACGCCAUCGGCGCCAGAGAAGCAGGAGUAUUGGACAAUGUACUUCGACGGGUCACUGAUGAGGGCCCGCGCCGGAGCGGGUCUCGUUUUCGUCUCUCCCUUGGGCAUGCGCAUCAGGUACAUGAUCCACCUUCAUUUUCCUGCAUCUAAUAAUGUCGCCGAGUACGAAGCCCUCCUCAACGGACUCCGCAUCGCCAUCGAGCUGGGCAUCCGUCGGCUGGACAUCCGGGGCGAUUCCCAGUUGGUCGUCGAACAAGUCAUGAAGGAGUGGAGCUGCCACGACCCCAAAAUGGCAGCCUACUGCAACGAGGUCCGUAAGCUCGAAGACAAAUUCGACGAGCUAGAGCUCAACCACGUCGCAAGGCGCUUCAACGAAGCCGCCGACGAGCUGGCGAAGGCGGCAUCCGAAUGAAUGCUCGUCCCCGACGGCGUCUUCGUUAGCGACCAGUUGAAGCCCUCAAUCCGUUACCCAGAACUGCAGGGGUCGGCGAAGCACCCCCGGCCCUGGGAUCGGGACCCGAGUCAGGGGAGGUCGGCAGCGCGCCACCUGUCCGAGACCCGAGCACCAGCCCCGAGGGGGUCGACAACGCUUUGCCCAACUCGGCCCCGGGAGCCGAUCCGUCCGACCCCGGGGUCAUGGAAAUCACGGCAGAUUCCGCGGCGGGUGCCGACCCCCCGAUCGAUUGGAGAGCCCCAUACAUCGACUACCUCGUCCGCGACACGCUCCCGGCAGACAAAACGGAGGCCCGUAGGAUCGCGCGCCGCGCCAAAUCCUUCGCCAUCAUCGACCAGGAGCUCUACAAGAAAAGCCACACUGGAAUCCUCCAGCGCUGCAUCUCGAUCGAACAGGGAAAGGCGCUGAUCAAGGAUAUCCACGCCGGAGCCUGUGGUCACCACGCCGCGCCAAGGACCCUCGUUGGUAACGCCUUCCGACAAGGUUUUUACUGGCCGACCGCGGUCGCGGACGCUACCCAGGUAGUCCGCACCUGUGAAGGAUGCCAGUUCUUUGCCCGCCAGACUCACCUGCCCGCGCAGGCGUUGCAGACCAUCCCCAUCACGUGGCCAUUUGCGGUUUGGGGGCUAGAUCUCGUCGGACCCUUCAAGAAGGCACCCGGGGGCUUCACCCAUCUGCUCGUCGCCAUCGACAAGUUCUCCAAAUGGAUCGAGGCAAGACCGGUGGCGCAAAUCAGGUCCGAGCAGGUGGUCCAGUUCUUCACCGACAUCAUCCACCGCUUCGGGAUCCCGAAUUCCAUCAUCACCGACAACGGCACACAGUUCACUGGGAAGAGAUUCCUCCAGUUCUGCGACGACCACCACAUCCGAGUGGAUUGGGCGGCCGUGGCACACCCCCGCACGAACGGGAAAGUCGAGCGAGCCAAUGGCAUGAUACUCCAGGGUCUCAAGCCAUGGAUCUUCGACCGCCUUAAAAAAUUCGACGGACGGUGGGUUGCGGAGCUUCCCGCAGUCCUUUGGAGCCUGAGGACGACCCCCAGCCGGGCGACGGGCUUCACCCCGUUCUUCAUGAUCUACGGGUCAGAGGCCAUUUUGCCCACCGAUCUAGAGUACAGAUCGCCAAGGGUCAAGGCAUACGACGAACAGGGAAACCAGGCAUCAUUCGAGGACGCGCAAGAUCAACUCGAUGAAGCGCGAGACGUAGCUCUACUGCACUCGGCUAAGUACCAGCAGGCCCUACGGCGUUACCACAGCCGCAAGGUGCAAGGCUGAGCCUUCAACGUCGACGACUUGGUGCUCCGCCUCGUCCAAGACAACAGGGGUCGGCACAAGUUGACUCCCCCAUGGGAAGGCCCGUUCAUCGUCGUACAAGUUCUACGGCUGGGCACCUACAAGCUGGCAACUCCCGACGGGCAGGUUUUCAGCAACGCCUGGAACAUAGAACAGCUAAGGUGCUUUUACCCAUAGCUUUUAUUUCCAAGCCCUGCAUAAAACUUGUCUUCAAUUCCGAUAUUUCCUUUAAGCUCAGGGGUAUCCGACCCUGGCCUCGUUCCAGGGCCGCAUACCCCUCGGGGGCUACCAGUUUUGCUCCUCUGCGAAAAAAAAGAAACCCCGAGCCGUCUCGGUUCAGGCCUUUUCCUUUAAGCUCAGGGGUAUCCGACCCUAGCCUCGCUCCAGGAUCGCAUACCCCUCGGGGGCUAUCAGAGGUUCCGACCCCAGCCGCUCGGCCCUAUCUAAAAGAAACAUUUUUUCUUUUCAAACCGAACACUCCCUUUCUAGACCUUUGGGCGCAAAAAAGAGAAGGAUGCGCGAACGGUGCUCAGGCAAGUUUGAUCGGACUGCGAAAAAACCUACGCCCCAGCGGCUACGGCACCUUCGCUCAUCAAAACUUAAUGACGCACCCGACAACGCAUUCUAAACUUUCAAGCCCAAAGGAACAGCAAAGGGGAUCGGGAUCUUUCGCACAACGAAGUCAUAAACAAGCCUGUAUGGCCAUCACAAAAUAAGUUCGAAACUAACAUAAUUACAUUUUGGGCACAAGCCCGGUACAGUUAACUUGACGAGGGGUCGGCAGGAGGGAUGACCUCAUCUUCCAGGAGCUUCGCGAGGGCCUCCGCCGGCGCGGACACCGCUGCAUCAAUCCCGUCCAGCUCAGCUUCGGUGUAAUCAGCGGCGUACCCUUCACUCAUCCCGGCAAAGUUGAUGCCAGAAUAAUGGGAGCCGAAGACCCCGAAGGCUCGCCGCAUGCCGACGUGAAGCGCGUCCAUGGCGAUCUCGCGACGUCGACGGCGUACCCCAAGGACACGAGCCGGCAGAGAGCUCGACCCCUCCUCCGGAACUACGCCAAAGUCGUCACAGACGACGCGGACCGCAUCCCGCAAGGCGCCGUGCUCGCCGUGCUCCGCGUCGAGCAAACCCUUCAGCUUGGCGAUUUCGCCUGCAGGAACCACCCAGAAAAGCCCACCAAGUCAAGAACAGAACACAAAAUGUCACGGGAACGCGGGAACGGAAAAAAAAAGCCUCACCGUCGGCCCAGGCCUUCAACUCGCGCUCCCGGUCGGCUCCUUGAGACACGGCGGACUGGAGUCCCUGCACUUGCGAGCGAAGGCGACCAGUCUCCGCGCUAAGGGCUUCACGCUCCCCCCUCAGCUGUGCAAGCUCCCCGGCAUCACGACGGGCCCUCUCAGCGGCAGCUUGAAGCUCCUCGGCGUCGCGGCGGACCCUCUCAGCGACAGCUUGGAACUCCUCGUGGUCGAGGCGGGCUUUCUCGAUGACGGCUUGGAGCUUGGCCUCCGAUCACCGCGCCUCCUCCAACGCCGCCCCCUCACGCCUUUGCAGGUCCCGAAUGACCCCCUGGGCGGCAGUGACUUGCAGGGACAGGUCCCUGGUGCGCUCCCUCUCCGCGUUGAAGCGCUCCCAGAGACCCUGCUGCAGCCGAAGGAAAUCAGAUUUCCCCCGACUGCCCUCUUGGAGGGCCUGCAAAGCAACGUGCCAUUAGAAAAAAAAAAGCAAAAGGGAGGUGCUGAUCACCAACAGUAGGAGCAACAUACCUGGCUGCCAGGGAGGACGGUGUUACCCAGAACCCCCAACGCCGAAGACAGAGCCGCCUCAACGUGGGCAAGGCCGCCCUGCAUCGCCUGCCACUUGUGCCACUCAGUGGCGUCGUCCAGCGUGAAGAGAUGCCUCGGCGGGUCAUCGCGGGAUGACCAGCGAAGGACAGACCCCCUCCACGCCCUGGGAACGGAGGGAGCCGAGGCCGAGGCAGGGGCCGAUCCUGACGCUGCCGUCAAGGUCGGCACCAUUGCACUAGAAGCCGCCGAGUUUACUGACGGCCCCGGCACCUGCACGCUCGUCGCCGCCGAGGCCGCCGGCGGUAUCCCAGUGGGCCCCUCCGCCUCCGCCGCCGGAGCCACUCCCGCGGGGGUAAUUGGGGCGGAGGCCCCCGCCUCCGUCACCGUUGCCUCCGCCGCCGCGCUUUCGGGGGCAGGCGUUCCCUCCGCCACCGAUCCCGCCGCGGCUGCGGGGGCAUCCGCCCUACCUCCCGUCGCCGCCGUCUCCUCUGCCUCGUCGGCGUCGAAGUCGAUCACCUUCCCGGCCUGAGAACCCGGGGGGAUCGUGCCCUGCGCUGUAGGGGCGACUGGGGGGACCGAAGGCGGAGUAGGGUCCGCUCCCCCUCCCACGGCUGACACCGCCGUCGCUCCGCCGGCCGCCACCACAGGGGCCGCCUCCGCGGAGGGGUCCGCGGCCUCACCAGGGACCCCGCCGCUCGCCGCGGGCGGGACCGCGGUCCGCCCCCCAGAGGAGGUUGACAACCGCAACGCCUUCUUAGGCACCAGCUGCAGGGCAAGGCCACGAGGGGCGGCGCUGCAUAUCGACAAACAGACGUCAGCACAAACGAGCGUGAGAAGAGGAGAGGAACGAGGCGCAAGGAAGGCCAACUUACGUCCUUGAAGCACAAGGGCGGCGCGCGCGCUUCGACUCAGAGCCCGACGCCGACCCCGGGGCAUCUGGCAGCGGCCGCUUGUCGCCACUUCGCUGCUCUCCAGUCGCGGGCACGGCGGUGGAGGCAGUCUCUGCAGAUCUCCGAGGAGCACCCUGAGCGGACUCCUGGGGAGCGCCCCGCGCCGGCUCUGAAGUGGCGGCGGGGGCAGGCUCCGAGGACCCCCGAGGGGCGCUCCGCGCCAGCUUUGGGAAGGAGCCCCGUGUCGACCCCUGGGGGGCACCCUUCACCGACCCCUGGGGAGCGUCCCGCGCCCGCUCCUGGGAGGCACCCCGCGCCGGCCCCUGGGGGGCGUUCCGCGUCGACUCCUGGGGGGCGUCUCGUGCCGGCUCCGAAGCGGCGGCGGGGGCAGGCUCCGAAGACCCCCGAGGGGCGCUCCGUAUCGACCCCUGGGGGGCACCCCUUGCCGACCCCUGGGGAGCGUCCCGCGCUCGCUCUUGGGACACGCCCCGCGUCGGCCCCUGGGGGGCGUCCCGCGUCGUCUCCUGGGGACACGCUGUACUGGCCCCUGGGGCGCAGCCCCAGGGCCUGGUGGAGCCGAAGCCCGGGCGGGCGCCUCCUCCACUUCACCUCCCGCGGCCGUCCGCGGGGGUGCCUCACGAAUGGCGAGGGCGCCCGAUCGGAAGGAGGAAAUCAGCUCCUCCUCAUCAUCAUCUUCCUCAUCUUCAUCCUCUUCAUCAUCGUCGUCAUCAUCGUCGUCGUCGUCAUCGAACACGACCGACCCCCUCCGCCGCCGUUGGAACUCCUUAGCGGCCUUCUUCCUCUUCUUCGCCAUCUCGAUGUCCUUCCGGCGCUUCUGCGCCUCGGCGAGGAGACGGUUGUGCGUCCGCCGCUCAACAUCUUCCGGCACCGGCGGGAGCGAGUGCGCGACCCGGGUUAGCGGACCCUACAAACGCAAAGCAGCUCCACGUCAGAGUGACAAUCGCAAGACACGAAGAAAGGAGGAGGACGCCCCAACUCCUUACCAGAUCUAUGAGCCCGCAUCCGGGCGCAUCGGCGGGUGCCCGGGAAUCGGGUACUCGACGUCCUUGUCCUCCAGCGCCUCCCGAAUCCGUUGCCGGAUCUCGGAAGCGACGAGCGCACCCGUCGCCAAGGCGGUGCCCUCGGUCGGCGCGUCGGGGGUCAUGGCGGCAAGCGGUCGGAUUCAGAGCAUCAGUGGCGCCACCCGUCGGGUGUGGUACGCUCCGAUGACCCCGGCGCCGGUGAGCCCGUCCCGCUUCAGCCGCUCGAUGGCCUGCAGCAGGUCGAAGAACCGCUUCUUGUCCUUCUCCACUGGCCCGUACGCCCACACCUCCGGCGCCGCGUCGAUGGUACGGCCGGUGAAAGCCGGCAGGGGGGAGUUCGGGUAGUUCUUCACAUAGAACCACUGGUUGUGCCACCCCUUGUGGGACGCCGAGGUCUUCAUCGUCAUGUUCUCCUUGGAGCGGGUAUGACGAAGGUGGAUCCCGGCGCACCCGAUCGGCACCGGAGGUGACCGCUGCUGGCUCCCUCGCUUCUCCGUCUUCUGGUACAGGCUCACUGUGAAAAAGUAUUUCCACAGCGAGAAGUGGGGCUCAAUGCCUAGGAAUCCCUCGCACAGGGCGACGAACGCCGCAAUGUGCUGGAUCCCAUUGGGUUUGAGGUGCUGGAGCUCGAGCCCAUAGUAGUGGAGGAGCCCCCGAAAGAAGCGGCUCGAGGGAGAGGCGAACCCCCGCUCAUGGAAGUGAGCGAAGGAGACGAUGUAGCCAGAGAGAGGCUCCGGCACCUGCUCCGGGCCCGACAGCAACCACUCAGCCGCCUCCGUCUUCUCGCAGAGGAGGCCUUUUCGCACCAGGCCCUCGGCGCGCGAGGAGGUGAAAUGGGAGAUCCCCCAGGAACCCAUCGCCGGAGGAGGGAGAUCAACGGAGGUGAGAAGAAAGGGCACGGCUUGGAGCAAAGGAAACGAAGCGGGCACGGACAAACUGAACGCUAGGCUGGAGGGCGGAAAGGCUCGAAUGCAGAAGGCGGGCGGAACCGGCGCGGCGGGCUCCCGUUUUUAUAGGAAAGGUACGGGAGAAGCCAAAUCGACGCCCCGGCCGCCAUAAAUGCGGCGCCAGGUACGCCCCUGCCACGCCCGUUUCCUUUUCGAAAACCGCGCGCACGGCCGGCCGCGAAAACAUCCUAUCCUCCUCGAUUCGCGGGAUGGCGCUUCCCAUAACUCCACCUCCCGGAAGGCACGACGUCCCCCACGUUCGGCCCAGACGUCACGACCGCUCCGUUCUGGCCCAAGGCCCACCGAAAGGUAAGAAAGGGAUACGGGGCUGAAAACGCCCCUACGGCCCAUUACGGUCCAGAGGUUCGAAGGCUGGCCCACCGCGGGAUCGACAGCUGCCUCAGGAUAUCUCCCGAGCAAGGGGUGAGAAGGGACGGGUCCACUAGCGGCCAACACCCAGGCAAGCGAAAGCCAAGGGCGUCCCGACCUCACGUUCGAGUCCCGUCCGGUAUAAAGUUCAUGGUUUUUCCACGGGGAAAGGCAACGAGCCCCCGGAUUCGGCCGAACGGACCCGGGAACUAUAUGAACUGGCCGGCGGGAAAUUGUAGUACGCCACCAGCUUGGCCCGAGCCGGACCCCCCCGAACGGGGACCGGGACUCCACUCGAACCUACCUGUUCGCAGCUCAAAGCGAGCACCACGGUUCGUCCAACUAGGAUAACGUGGCACGGCUCAACCCCUCCGUCCUAGCGAACGGACGCUUGAGGGGCAACGACCAAAAGUCGACCUGGCCUCCCGACCGGUCUCCCGCAACGAGCAGGGGCUCGGGGGCUAGCAUCGCAACCAACGACCAUGCGUAUGGUCACGAUUCCCAGGCUCCCCGGCCAAACCGGGAUGAAGCAAGCGCACCAUAAACAAAAUCCACGGAGAAACGGCGAAAGAAGCCUCCGGAGGAGCACUUUUUGCUCCACCACAGGCUCGGGGGCUACUGUUGGGGGGAAAUAUUAACGAUCCCCUAAAUACCGCUUAAAGGAGCAGACGCGAAGGCCCGGGCCCACCUAAGCAUAAUCAAAACUCCGCCUCGCCCGACCGCGGCCUCAGGGUCAGGAACGCCCGACUCCCCUCCACGAGGUUUCCGCCUCGUCCGACUACGGCCCCAGGGUCGGAGGCGCCCGACCCCUCGCCACAAGGUUCCGCCUCGUCCGACCCCAAGCGCAAGGGUCGGGCUCGCUGGGGCCCCCAGGGCAGGCAUCCCCCUCGGAUGCGGACCAGGUGGGCAAGGUAAACAAAUGCUGCGGGUCCCUCCCCCGUCGGGCUCAUCAUAAAUGCGCCGCAGGCCUGGCAGAGGGAGGAAUGACCGUGCUCCUCACACAACCCGCCGCAAGUACCCAUGCACGACCAUACUCUACAAGCUACAGCGCUGGCGGCUCACUCCCAUUCGCCGCAGGGUACUCAUGGCCUGCGCCGACCGGAGCGGAGGAGAGACUCGCCUGUCCUCGGGCCCCGCGCACCCUCGGGUCCCGUGCGCCUGGCAGCUAGGAUGUGACGCCCUCUCUCCAGGAGCCAUCAUCAGAACGGCAGCAUCCACCGUCCUCCCCAACGGACACCGGGAUAACGACGAAACGCCCUCAUCAUAACCCGACGCCGACGGAUGCCGAAGGAGCUAUCUGUAGGGUGCGACGACAGUUGGCGCACGGCCGCCUCCCCCUCCGGCAUGCACGCCGGCGCUCGCCAGGAGCCGGCGGAGGCGUCGGGCGUCUAGGAACUUGUUCCUCCCAUCCUGCCGUAUUUUUUACCGUACUACGUUCACAUUUUACGGUCCUCUUCGCCCGAUCCCAACUGUAACUCUGGCCACUCCCCUUGCGAUAUAAAAGGAGGAAGACAGGGCCGGAGGGGGGAUCGGCUUCUUCCCCCUCAAGCCACAGCACGCUAGUACGCUCCCUGAGAACAUAGGCACAAAGAGACUUGGGACCAGUCCCUCUCUCGUCGGUCUGUAACCCCUACUACAGAACUCCGCGUGGGUAAUACGAGCAUUCACGAUACUGGACGUAGGGCUCCCUUUGCCCGAACCAGUCUAAUUCGUGUCUCCCACGCCACCAUCUGAGGCCUUACGCGCAUAAAAGAAAUUUACUAGUCUAAGUCUUGAUCCGCCAAUCUUGACAACGACAAAUCUAAAAAUCCAUAACUAAUUAAUUUUAAAUCAUAAAAGUUUGAAACUAUUACCCAUCAUCUUUUUCUAGAAUGUUACCUUUUAUGUUGGUUUUUUUGAGUUAUUUGCAUAUUAUUGUCCCCAUCUCUAGUGUUUUAUUGCUUGUAGUCAAACCUACUAUUUAUUUAUUGUUGUUUUGCAUUGUAUGAUUAUUGGAUGCUAUGCGAUACAAAGAUAAUUGUUCAACAACCAUAUGCAUCAUGAAGAAAUUUCCGGAUACGAUUGAUAUUAGUACAUUAUUAACUUCUUAUCAAGAAAUAUCAAUGAAGUGUUUUAUAUGAAUAUUUUUAAUGCACCUUGAGUUUUUGGAUAACCUUUUUCAUAAAAGUUAAUUAGAUGCAUUCUUAACUAAAUAAGCCAUUUGGUAAUUUUUCAAAAAUGUUUAUUUAGGUAACAGAAAAUUUAUUUAUUUAUUCUGGAAAAAGUUUUUUUUUAACGAAGUUAGCAAGGAAAGCACCUACCUAUUCUUUAAUUGUUAUUUUAGAUCCGUUUAAUUCGCUCCCACGAGAAGUUGAAUAUAGACCUGCAGGAUGUUACUCAGGUGCUCUAACCACUAGACUAGAGUCCCUUUCGCUUCUGAAAAAGGUUUUACAAAAAUCUUUUCCCUAUUAUCUUUUGUUAAGUCUGGGAUGUUGCCGCACGUGGGAAAGAAAGAACGGGAAACAUAGACCGAGACCGCUGCUGCGCCGCCACCAUGCUUCGCCGUUGGAGGGUUAGGGUUCGGGGUUUCGGGUUAUGGGUCAUCGAUGGCGCGGCUAUCUCCGAUGUGGCUGGGAUAUAUGGGAGGUUGACGGUGGCUAGGUAGCAGGCGGUGGUGGCGGGUUGUGUGCGGGAUGGCGGGACACCACCAGUUCCGAUUUGUGGAAGACAAUAGGUGGCCUCUAGAGGCAGCGGGGGAAUCUUGGUGAGCUUCCCGCGCGGGGCUGGGUUAGGGCGGCGAAGGAUGGUGGCGGUGGAUGUGGCAGCGCGAGCCGCCGGAGAUGAUGGAGGAUGGCGGCGCGGGCGCGAGCAAAGGAGGACAGUGCGAUGGUGAUCGAGGGUUGCGACCGGCGACGCCGGAUGCAGUGGCGAGAGCCGUCGGAGCUAGAGGAGGAGGGCAGCGCGGGGGCAUGGGCGUGCGCGCUCCUGGGCUGCCAUCACUGAAGGUGACAUUGGUGAUUUUUGUCACCUUCUGUGAUAUAUAGAUAUAGACAUGCUCUAGAUAGAGGACUCCUUGGAGAGACCCCGAGAAUGGAGAUGGGCAUUUGGAGCUCUUCCAAAAUAAGGAAUCUAGAGGACUUGCUAGAAUGCAUUUUUUUUGACUUGGUCCAUUGGAGUUGUUCUAAGCCAACAACUAUUAGCAUCCUUUUAGAUAACUCUGUUAAUCUGAAAUACAACAGUUUCCUACUUUAUGUAUAAUGAGUGUCAUUGCGUCACUACGUACGAGGUCUACUUUAUGGCGGAUCUGAAGGUGUGUUUGGUUGGGAUGUGGCUUUUGGAAAAGCUACUGUGAGCUGUGGGCUGUGAAAAAGUAGCGGGGAGAAAGCAGCUGUGGGAAAAGCAGAAGACCGUUUGGUUAGAGCAGCUACGAAACUGUAGGUUGUGUAAGAAAUACCUGUAAUGCCCCUAAAGGUCUGCGGGUGUGUUUACAUGCAAAUUGCUCAUAACAAAAUAAUGUGUUCACUAAUUCACAUGUAAAUGACUAUUUUAGAAAGGAAAAAAAAUAAAUUUUAUAUGUUCUUCAUCCAUAUAAGUGAUUGGUCCACAUAAAUAGAACAAUAUCCAUCAAAAGGUUUAUACAAUGAUGUCAUCUCUCAACAUUACUGUCCUCCUCUCGCACUAACCAAAGCAUCAACUAUCCUAGCAUGAAUGAUAUUCAUGGUAUCCUCAUUCUCCAUAUCGUCACUCUCAUCUCCUUGUGUUUGUCUCGUGCCACUUGUAUAUUGUACCAAGUACUCCUACAAAACCGAGUUAGUAAGGUACAUAAUAAUACACGUAUUUCUAACUUGAUGAAGGAAUCAUGUAUACCUUUAGGAGGCACGAGAAAUAUGUCUCAAAGCAUUGUCGAGAAAAUUGAAAGAAAAGAUGAUGAACAAAGGAGGGUCAAUUCUUGUUGCUCUUUGGACUAGAGGAUUGACGAUGAUCAUUGCAGUCCUAACAAUUCUCUUGUUGCAGAACAGAGUAGCAACUUCUGAGUAGCAUAUGAUUCUUACAUCUUCCAGGCGAGGUGGCUAGUGUGCUGGAUGAAGUUGAGGUCCCUUGGCAACCUGGCAAACGCCUCCGUCAUGUCUGCAGGCAAAAUUUCCAAAAAAAACAAGAAGAUUUCAACACCACCAACAAAGCAAGCAUGUAAUCACCUGAUUAAUCAAUCAGCAAACAAUUCACAACUAGCAAUCUGUAGAAAUUAGCACGCCAUUACCGUCCUGGGUGAUGAGCGGGUAGUCGGAUGCGUUGAGGUUGACGAACCAGUCCCAGCGGCGGUGAAGGCGGAGCAGCAACGCGACGGCGUGCAGCGUGGUGGUGAGCAUGGUGGGGCCCCGGUAGGUGACGAGGUUGGGCCUGCCGACGAUCCACACGUUGCCCGCGAUCGCGUACACACCCCACCUGGACAUGAGCUCUGCCAGCCGGCAGUGCUCCUCCCCUGGACCGCAGGUAGUUGUUGGCCGGGUGGUACAGUGCCGCCAGCAGCCGCAUCGUGCGGCCCACUUCCCCUGAGGAUGCCGAGAUAAGGUAUGCGAACGAGAUCGGGUACCGCGGCGCCUCGCCGGCGGCACCGUCGAAGGCGGCCAACGAUGAGAGUGUUGACGUCGGUUUUUGACACGUGUCAGGGUCGACGUCAAGAGGAGAAGAAAGUGGCUGAUGCGGUUAAACAAGAAGCUAUGGCUAGAGAAAUCAGUCAGUAAAGCUAUAGUGUUUCAGCCGAUUAGCUAAUGAGAUAGAUGAAGACUGGCCGAUUGGAAGCUAGAAAAGCUCGGCCGAUAUGGGCCUAAAUGGGCCAAGGUGGUAACAAGAUGAAGAUAGGAUUGGCCCAUAGAGGAUUGGAUGGUGUUCGACUCCGAUACAAGUUGUAUCCGUAUGUAAAUAUUUGUUGCUUUGAAUAAGAAAUAGAAUAUUGAGUCAUAGUCGGUUAGGAAACGAGUUGUAACAGGGUAUAAAUAGGUGCCCCGUGAGGCUGGCAAAAACAUCAACAAACAUCAAUACAAAUCUACUUUUUCAUGCAACUUUACUUUCAUGUCGGCGACUUUGCCAAACCCUUUUCUUUUCACGAGUUCGUGUGAGUUGGCAGGGCUGCAUCAACGUGAUCUCCGAGCAAUUUGUAAGUUCCGCGUUUCGAGUAAUAUAUAAGCUUUAACUUUGGGCGUAUCGCUGUUGUUUUGUUUAGAUUUAUUCACUAGUUAUCGAUAUUUGCUAGAAUUAUAGGUUUUAUUCUCCGGUGGAAAGAUUGUGCCUUUGCCUGUAUUUCUCUUGCACUAAACUCAGGCGAUACCUAUUAUCGGCGGAAUGUGUGGUCGCGUGUAAAGUUGAUGUUGUCAAGUAUAUGUUAUCACUGCCGAUCUUGAAGGGAAGGAUUGGAAAAUGUAUUCUGGCACUCUCAGAAUUCGAUCUCAGGUACGAAUCGGCCAAGGCCGUCAAGGGUCAGGUAAGGCUGAUUUCGUCACCCAACACUGUGGAUCAGAAAUUACUGUCGUUGAGCCGGCUCCAUGGACUCUGUACUUCGAUGGAUAUUCGUGUGGGAUUGGAUCAGGAAUCGACAUAAUUCUUAUAUCGCCUCGGGGGGCAAGUUAUGAGUUCUCUCUGCCGAUUGAGGCUUCCGCUACUAAUAAUCAAGCAGAAAAUCGGGCUGUCUUAAAGGGCAUCCAAUUAUUGAGGGAGGUCAAGGCUGACGUGGUAGAAAUAUUUGGGGAUUCCAUGAUUAUCGUGGAUCAGUUGAUUGCAAAGUGUGAGUGCAAGGAUGAUAUUCUAAGGAUUUAUUAUGAGGAAUGCCUCCGGUUGCUCAAAGAAUUCAAGACCGUAACUAUUGAACAUAUCCCUAGGGAUUACAAUGAGGAAGCCAAUAGACUUGCCCAGCACGCUUCUGGCUACUGGCCGAUUCAUGGCGCUUUCGCUCUAGAGCUGGCGGCCGACAACUGGAGGAAGGAGAUCGCCGAUUAUUUAAAGGAUCCAUCCAAGAAAGUUGAUCGGCAGAUACGCUUCCAAGCCACAAAGUAUGUGUUACUUGAAGAUGAAUUGUUUUAUCGGACGAUUGAUGGAGUGUUUCUCAAGUGCCUUAGCAUUGAGGAAGCAAAGAUUUUGAUGGGUGAGAUUCAUGAAGGUCUAUGUGGGACCCAUCAAUCGGCUUUCAAGAUGAAGUCGAUGAUUAGAAACAAUGGGUAUUACUAGCUGACAGUACUUGAAGAUUGUUUCAAAUAUUAUAAAGGCUGUCAGGAUUGUCAAAAAUUUGGCAACGUGCAACGAGCCCCGGCCUCGGCUAUGAACCCGAUAUUAAAGCUGUGGCCAUUUAGAGGCUGGGUAAUUGAUCUCAUCGGUUAGAUCUAUCUGCCGUCAAGCAAAGGGCAUAAGUUCAUAUUGGUGGCGAUUGACUACUUCACCAAGUGGGUUGAGGCGGUUCCUUUGAAUGUUGUGAUGUCGGCCAACAUGAUCGAAUUCAUGAAGGAGCACAUCAUUUAUCGAUUUGGUAUUCCUCAGACCAUCAUGAUUGAUCAGGGGUCAAUGUUUACCUCAGGGAGUUCGAGGAGUUCACUGCCAGUAUGGGAUUAAGCUGUUGAAUUCUUCUCCGUAUUACGCUCAGGCCAAUGGUGUGACGACCCCGGUUAAAUCUUUCGAGUUAAUCUUAAUACGAGCCCCAAAAUUCCUCUGUCUCAGUUUUUCCCGAGCAGGAGUGCUCCACUCCAGUUCCUGUUCCUGACCCGUGAAGACUCUAACUCACCCCGCCAGUUCCUUUUAAGUCUCAACAACAGUGUCCCUUUCAAUCUUGAACAGAGGAAAGACCGAGACUGACGGAUGGACCCGCAAUCUUUUCCCCGGAUCUCCCGAGGCAUACGCACUCGAGCGGCCUGCACCGCUUCAGAGCUCCCCCGCCGCGUGGCUCAACUUCUCCGACGCCCGCCGCUUCACCCAAUCGCCGGCCGGGACAGGAUAGAUUCUCACGCCCUCCUCCCCAAUCGCAGCGGAAGCCCCUCUGCAACCCUUUCUGCUGCGCCUCGUCUCGCUCGCGCCCUCGCCGGCCGCGCCUUGGUGCUCCGACACCGCUGUGGCAGAGCUUUGCCGCUUGCUGCAUCCAAACUACCUCGCAGCUCACGCCCGUCAUCAUCUCACUGGAUCCCCGACUGCAAGGCCCGAUGCCUUCCGACUUUUCCACCGCCUCUACACAGUCGCGCUCGCCUGCGCAGCCGCAGCCUGCCUAUCUUUUCACCGGUUGCAACCUCGCUUGUAGCGCCGUUCUCCCUGUCACACCCAUCAGAUCCGCCGCAUGACGACGCCCGCCUCCGCCAAACCUCAACUACCGGCAAAACCGCGCCUGCGCCGCCUUGUCUCCCGUGCCCAAUAGCCAAGGACCCUAUCUCCGAAAUCCUGUUCCGCCGCCCAUCGACGCCCAGUCGCCGCCAUGGCAGCGCACUCCAUCCUUUUCUUCCGGUCUUCGUGCUACUCCAACUCCCUCUCUCUUUCGCGCAGCUAUAAAAAGGAAUGCCAGAGCCCUACUGGAGAUCCCUUCACCAUCGUUGCCUCGCCGCCUUGUUCCUGAGCGCCGCCACCUAAGUUCUUGAGGAACUCUCAUCUUCGCUCAACACCCGCCCCUCCCAAUCCACCAAGCCGCCUGCUCCUCCACGCUAUGCUAGAGCUUCCUUGUUGCUCACAAGAAGCUCCGCCGCCGCCGGAGCACCGCCGGACAUAGCCGCCACCAAAGCCUUAGUGCUUAAGACCUUCCGCCCAAGUCUACUCCUUCCCGACCCCAAAGCUUCACCUAUAAACCAAAGGUAAGCUGCCGACCCCUUACCGGUUCGCCCGACCCUACCUGUUCGCCUGACCCUACCUGUUCGCCCGACCCCUCUUUCCAUCUCGCCCGACCCUGUCUGUUAGCCGGCCCUUAUCUUCUUCGCCCGAGGACUCGGCUGUACUCUUUUCCUUGACCCGAGGGUAUCUGUGUAAGAUUUCGGGGACUUCUCUGUAAUAGCUUUGAGGACCCCAAACACAUUAAGGCUUAUGGGUCAGAUCAUAAGUUCUUCCAAUUCGACCCUUGGUCUUGUUCUCUAUCCACUGAAGCUUGAACCCCCACACUCUUUCCGUAGCUUUGCUACAAGUUUCUGGGCUAAGACUUGCGAGUGUUGCUGUUGAAAUAACCGUCUAGACACUAACUCCAGCAUUGCAUUCGUGUAGAGUUUCAUCUUGCUGACGGCGUCUACGAACUACACCCGGUGCCAGAAGACGGAGCUGUAGCUGAGCUACCAGUUCCAGAAGCCGAAGUCGCACCAGCUGAAGACCCGCUUCCCUCCCCUCCACUUGAAGGCAAGUCCCGGAGCAUGAACCCCAAAGUUUCCCAAACUUGCGCAUGCCUUCUUUCUCAUGUUUGUGCAUUUACGUAUAGGAGUUGUUUGCAACCUUAGAUGCAUGGUAUAGUUCCUUGAUCGGAACACUAGUUGUUGAAUCGAGUAGUUGCUAUGCUUAAAUAGGAAGUGGUAAAAGUCGAGUGAUUUCCUGUCACUCGCGAGUUAUAGGAGUUGGUUGUUCUCCUUCUGUUACAACUAUAAGGACGAUGGAUGGGGCAAGGUUUUGGUUAACUCUUUUGCUAGUCGGCUGAUCCCCCCGUCUGUCUAUGGAAUCUGUUAAGGCCCGAUAGUGGUGGUGUUCGUGAUCAAGUGUUUGAAAGUACUAAUCUCAUACCUAGUAUGGGAUGGGGAAGCCUAGUACCUGAUUGAACUAGGGCGUGGCUUAUACCCCUGCUGUCCCUGGAACGAGGUUCCCAUGGUGCAUCAUGUGGGUGCAAGUGCGGUCACAGUACGGUAGAGGCCGGGAUUGUGGAGCAUUGCAUGCCAAGGGAAGUUGGACCUGACACGUGCCUGGGAAUUGAUGGGGACGGCUGACACAGGAAGCGACCCUUGUGGUGCGCGGAUGUCGUGAGAUUAGGUUUGCCAUGCAUGGUUAAGAAACUCGAAGGAUUCGUCUGCCUCUCACAGUUUGAGACUGCUUGAUCGCUAUGCUACACUGAUUAAUGAAAGAGUCUGAUGAUGACAUGGUCUUGAUGAGUAGCUUAUAUACAUAAAGUUGGAUCUAUGUUUGCUUAGAGUAAGAUGCCAACGUAGACUGGUUAAUGAACUUAGAAUUUGAGCUAAAACUUGAAAGCAAGGACCUAACGUAGUAGCUUUUGGCAAACAAAACCCCUCAGCCAAAGAGCCUUGCAUGUCUAGACGUGGUGGAGUAGUUUUACCACCGGUCGGUUAAGUCUUGCUGAGCGUAGCAGCUCAACCUUGUUUGUGGCUUUCUUUUCAGGUGAAGUCGCAGCUCCUGAGUUUGCUUCCGUUGGCACUUGGCCGCCCCAGCUCCCUCCGGGUUGGACGGUUGAGUGGGAUCCUUCCUCGGACGGUGAGGAGAGGGAUCAUUGAUGUCCUGAUCGGCCUCAUUAGGGACAUCCGACCCUGGCGCUAGCUUCCGCUAAUUUAGCUUUCCGCUGCUUUUGAAUCUUGUAAAACUCUGAUUUUUGUUUUUAUGUUGAACUAAAUUGUCAAACUUGUUUAACUCAGUGGAUCUGUUGUAUUCUCUGAAACCGCUCACCUUCGUGUGAGUUUCGCUAAUCCGGUCCUGUAAGUGGUUUAAUCGGAGGAAAUCCGACGGCCCUUCGAGUUAACUUGACUAAGGCAUAAGUGUCGCGUGUCAGGCGACUUAACAAUGCUUUAAUCAAGGUAAUCCGAGGUGGUUCCACCACAAAUGGUCAGGCCAAGUCAUCAAAUAAGGGGGUUAUUAAACUGAUUAAAAGGAAGGUCAAAAAACAACCAAGACGGUGGCAUACAACGCCGAAUGAGUCCUUAUGGGCUUAUCGGAUGGCUUGCCGCGGUGCCACCAAGGUGUCCCCUUAUCAGUUAGUAUAUGUGCAUGAAGCAGUAUUACCUUGGGAGUUGAAGACUGGGUCUAGACGUGUGUCACUUCAGAAUCAGUUGUCGGUUGAUGACUAUUCCGCCCUCAUGAGGGGAGAAUUGGAAGAUUUGGCGAAUCAACAGCUAAGGGCUUUGAUCAGCAUUGAGGAAAAUAAGAAAAGAGUCACCAGGUGGUAUGACAAGAAGGUCAAGGUCAAAAGGUUUUCCCAAGGGGAUUUAGUCUGGAAGUUGGUUCUGCUGAUAGUAUGGAAAAUGGUCGCCCACUUGGGAAAGGCCAUAACGGAUUAGCCAAUGUGCUCUAGGCAAUGCAUACAUACUGGAGACUUUUGAGGAAGAAGAAUUUACAAGGGCCUUGAAUGGAAGAUAUUUGAAAAGAUACUACCCUAGUAUAUGUGUAGGCGCUUAGCCGAUGAUGUGGCAUAACGGGCUUUCACGGUCGACGCGUACUGAUUCGUGUUCAUAUAGCCGAUGCAAGGGGCAUCGCCUUAAGAUUGAAAGAGGCGAAAUAGUGUAUAUAUAACUAAACCGAUCAUUAUUCGGUACACCAACUAAAUAUAUGGCCGGCAUGAUACAAGUCGCCCUUAGAUAAAAAGUACCGACACAGUUAUGGGUUACAACGAUUUAACAACGUUUCAUGUGAGCUUUAUUCAUAUCGAUUUCUUUCUGAAGUCGAUCCAAUUCGAUCUGGAGUCGGGCGUUCUUCUCCUCUAGUUCUGCCAUGUCAUCUUCAACAGCAACUUGACAGGGUAACAGAUGGCUUCUUUCGACUGAUUGCCGUGGUUGCCUUCUAGAAGCUUUAGCCUCGAUGUCAUCCACAAUCCUCUUGAUAUUCACGGGGAGGUGAUCUCUGAGUUCCUCACGAUGAGUUUGGAUCAGGUCUUUGUCAGCCUGAGUGAGCGGUUCAUCGGAGUGGAGGAUCUCAAUGGCUCGUUCAAGAUCACGGCUGAGUCGGUUUGGCUACGAGAAGAAUUGAUGAUCAAUUGACAGAGGGAUUGGUCGAGAGAUAGGAGAUUGACUUCGUACCUGAUUGACAGAGGAGGAGGAGGCCAUCUUGGUCGCUCGAUCGAAGAUUUGUAAGCGCGCGCAAGGAAUGGUUGAGUGGGUGUUUUGCGAAUGCCUUCAGAAGGGAUGCGAAGGGUUUGUACUUAUAGAACAGAAUGGCAAUGGACAAAGGUCGGUAAAAGGAGGGCAUUUAAAGAAAGCGACCGUUGAGUCAUAAAAGCUACGUGAGGACUGUUCAGACUUGCAUUUCAGACAAAAACGCCAAAAGUAUCAACGUUACACAAGAUGUUCAAAGGCUGGUUGAGUUCGUUACAACUAUCCGAGGAGAUUGUUUAUGGUCUCAAUCGCUCGCAGGCGAACUUGGUUGGCCACCUCCAACACUCGCCGAUCAUCAUCGGCUGAUCCUAAGACUUCUGGCGCAUUGCGAUGAAGAUGGAUGGCCUCGUGAGUGAGGGAUUGUCUUUCUUGUUUAAAAUCAACGAUGGCGGUUGGAAGAUCUUCAAGUUUCUUUUCUUCGGUAGCGAUAGCCUUUACGACCAGUUCCAUCUCCUUGGUGAGCUCUGCUCUGCGCCAUUUGAGUUGGUCUAUUUCACUGAUGAUGCUUGGAUGAGAAGUCUCAUGGAGACCGAUCUACCGAUGUACGUGUUGUGCACGGUGCUUGUAGGACUCUUCUUCUUGACGCACCAUCUCCAAUUUAGCACGGUCAGCCAUGUGUCGCAAGGCUCUAAACACCGGGACCCGCAUGGUUUCGAUAUAUGCUGCGGGUGUGAGAACCUCUUCUGCGUCUUCUGGGACUUGGCCUUUGAUCUCGUUGAAAAUCCACCGUAUCAGUUUGGCAUCUUCCACCAAUCGACCGAUGUUUUCCUGAAGAAGGGUUCGCAUGUUUUGGAGCUUGGCACGGACAUCUUCUGGUAUUGAGCUCAGAGUUAUUUGGCGUGAUGCAACUUCUUCGUCAUCAGAGACCGCAAUUGCAGAGGAGAAGAGGCUUUUGUUUGGCGUGUCUUACUCCUGCAGGGAUGUGGGAAAGUGUUUUAGCCGAUAAAAGUAAAAAAUCGGCUGGUAGAUAUAGAAGGUUCUUACCUCCUUCAAACAAAUCUCUUCUGCUUGGGUUGGCAGAGUCGUUACUCCCACCUCAGAAGUUUGCGGAGGUAGCUCAUUAGAGGGGGAAGACUUGACAAUGAUCGGCUCUCUAGGCGUAGCUGAUAAUGUGCUUGGACCAGCCUCCUGGAAAAGGAACAAAGGAAUCAUUUUUGAGUAUAAAAUAAUACUGGAUCUAAGUAGAAGUCUCGGUUUUCUUACCUCUCGGACGCGCGCAGCCAACGGUAGCACCAGGGGAAUGACUGACGUAUCUGGAGCGUCCUGUGUCAAGAAUCGUCUGAUUUUAGUUAUCAGAACUGUGGAGACUAAGGGAAGAGCAUGUUCUUUACCUCAAUUUGAAGAUUUGUAGGUAACACAAUUUUAGCUUGAGAAUCGGCCAAUUAAGGAACAGUCUGCUCUAGGAUAGGUUGUACGGCCUGUUGAAAAGAAACAAAUUUAGUAUUGGUGAUACAUAUGAAGAAGUCAGAGCAGAAAGAUUACUCGUGUAGCUUUCACCAAGAGUAACACAAUCGCCGACCCAGCCUCUGAUGCUGCUAGGGGAUCAAUGUCCUGAAUUGCCGACAAUACAUCUGCUUGGAUUGGUGCGGCUGAGGGCUCGACCGAUGUUGCUGCCGAUUGGUGGGUUGUUCGAGUUGUCGUAGAUUCAGUACGAGCUCAUACCCUGCGACUCGUCUUCUUUGUGGUGGAUAUUUUGAGCUUAUGCUUCAAUCGGUUGGUGGCUAUGUCCUCCAUUGAUGGGGCGUGAUAGCCGAUGAGAGGGUACGGUGUGUACGGAUGAUGGGUCUGUAUCAGUCUGCCACUCUAACUGUGCGUUGGAGGCACUUGGCUAUCAACCUGUGCAGGGUAAAAGGAUAAUGAUAAGAAAGUUCUGCAACAUGUGAAAAUUAUUGGUAAGGAAUCGACAAAAAAGUAUUGUUACCUCUGCAUUCGGAUCAGUGUGAGCGGGGUCCAGUUGAUUGCAAUACACUGCAGGGGCCGCACAGGAAAGGUACUGUUUCCACUCGGCCCACCACAAUUUGAAUUGUUGAGUGGAGAAGGGGACCACCAGCCAAGCGCUCAGAUCGAUGGUGUCGGAAUCCGGUGUCAGAUUACACAAUCUGUUGUAUUCCAGUCCUUUUGAAAUCGGUUCUCAAAAUUUCACUCGGCCGACGAAGUGAAUCCGAUUGGUAUUUGUCCCAAGCCAAAUUGCCGAGCUGCUACCGACGGGUUAUAGAACUCAUAUGUUGGAGAGUCCUUGCCAGAGAAGAAAUUUGCCGGUAGAAUCCCAGGUUGAUCAGGGUGUCCAUGAUUCCUUCAUCGAAGGUAUCGGUAGCCUAGUCAAAACAGUCAGGAUUCUAAAAAGUUGGGUUCUCUCUCUGAUAUGGAUACCAAUUCGUCACCUCUUCUUUAAAGCUGUUGUAAAAGCAUCUAAAGUGCUCGGCUAUUCUUGAGGGGGCAAGCUUGCCGCCUGGGAAAGUGGAUACGGCUUCACUAAAGGAAGUACAGCGGCGUCUGGCCAAUGGGUCGGUUUCUGAUUUAACAUUAGGAAAGUCUUGGUCUCAAUCCGCUCCUUGAAGAUUUCGCUCAUAUAUAAGUUGAGCUAGAGAUUGACAAACCACCAAGGACCACCAGGAUUCCUGAUAGGUUCUCCAGAUGAUAGCUUCACGCCGAUGUGAUGCAGCAUGUAAUACACUGACCCUAGUAGAUGCUUUCCCAAAGGGACUGUGGCUCCUCUAACUAGUGCUUCGGCCAAAGCCUGUGUGUUGGAAGUAGGACUGGCUAAUUUACCACAGAAGACAUACCUUUCCUGCCACAUCAUCAAGAAGGUCGUGUGCUCUUUUUCUGUGUUGGGUCCGGUCCUCAUGUUCUUCUCAAUGUAGCCUUUCCAUGUGCUGAUGGCUUUCGUCUCCAGCCGAUGGGUGGGUUUGAUUAAGAAAUCGAAAGGUGAGUCGGUGGAGGAAACAUCGAGGCCAGUCAGCAUCAGAACAUCGGCCAGGGUUGGAGUCAUUGGCCCAUGGUCGAAAAGAAAUGCAUUGAGAGCAUCGGACCAAAAGUAAGAUGCCGCGAUGAGCAGAGAUUCUUUCUUUUCCAUAUGAGAUAGAGAUAAAUUUCUGCAAUGGCCGAUUUUUCGCUCAUCCCAGAAGACUCUGUUGGAAUUUGACAUUCUAAAAAACCAAUCUCUCCAUCCGGGGGUUUGAUUCGGCCAAGACUUGAAAGUGUUCGCCCAAUUGUCUAGUUCCAUGGUCGAUUGCUUAAAAGGGAUCCUGUGAGUUUCUAGUUUAAUCAGAUCGGUUGGGUUAGGAUCUCCCAUAGAGCCAAGAUCGAUGAAUCCAGGGGUGUUGGCCAUGGGAUGGUGAUUCUUUGCCUGAGUUCUUGAGCAAAUGCGAAGAAAGACUAAGAACAGAUCUAAAAUCGCGAAAAGAUGAGGAGAGCCUAGAAGACUUACCUCAGGAACGAAGGUCAUGGUAGCUAUGGGUGCCACCAUUGGAGCUUGGGAGUUGGUGCGGUCGGUGAAGGACGUGAGCAAGUCACUGGAGUGCGCUGGGAUGUGCCUAGAAGUGGCACGAGCAAGGUCGCUGGGGUGUGCCGGGAGAUGAUUCGCUGGAAAGGAAACCCUUUUCGCCCGGAGGAAGAUGAAGCGGCGGAAGAGAUGAGUAUCUGCACGAUGACUCGGGAGAAGGGUAAAUAUGAAAUUUUUACCACGCCGUCUGCGCUAAUUUCGAAAGGAGCGGUUGCCUACAGGUGCUCAGUUCGAAAAAAUGCAAUCAUCAAGGAGAAGAUUUCGGGAGCAAAGAGGGUUUUGCUGCAUUUAUUGUUGCGUCUUUUCUGAAAGAAGGAAUCAGAGUUGAGAAAAUUUCGGAGAAAAAGAUAUGUUUCACUAUGAAGCUGGGAGGCAUGUGUUGAUGCCAGUUUUUAACACGUGUCAGGGUCGGUGUCAAGAGGAGAAGAAAGUGGCCAAUGCGGUUAAACAAGAGGCCAUGGCUAGAGAAAUCGGUCAGUAAAGCUAUAGUGUUCUGACCGAUUAGCUGAUGAGAUAGAUGAAGACUCACCGAUUGGAAGCCAGAACGCUGGAUUUUGACACGUACUUGAAAUCGGUGUCAAAGAAGGAGAAAGGGGGGCCGAUGCGGCGGACUAGAAGCUACAGUUGGGAAUCGGCCGAUUGAAGCUACAAUGUUUCAGCCGAUUGGCGGAAGAAAUUGGUGGAGGCUGGCCGAUUGGGAGUCAAAGCAGUUUGGCCGGUUUGGGCCUAAGGUGGGCCAGGAUGAAUAUUUGCUGAAGAGACAGGCCCGUGGGAAAAUAAUAACCAACUCGAAUACGAGUCGUGUUUGUAACUAUUUGUUGUCGUUUGAAAUUAGAGAUAGAUUCUAGUCGGUUAGGAAAUCAGUUCCAACACGCUAUAACUAGCUACCUCGAGAGGCUUGUAAAAAAAACAACACAUCAAUCAAUACAAAAAAAAUUACUCUUUCCUCGUACUUUACUUUCAAGUCGGCGACUUCGCCAAAACCUUUUUCUUUCACGAGUUCGUACGGAUUGGCAGGGCUGGAUCUACAGGAUCUCCGGCCGAUUCUGUAAGUUCCACUUAUCGAGUAAUACUAAGCUUUAACUUCGGGCGCAUCGCUGUUAUUUUGUUUAGAUUUAUUCACCAGUUAUCGAUAUCAACUAGAGUCAUAGGUUUUACCUGUUAUUUUAGUUUUUAUCACCAAUUAUCCAUCUUGAGGUACGAACUGUCGGUUUUUAUUAUUCUUAUCCUUUAUCAUCACAUAGCCGAUUAGAUCUACUCCAAGUUUUGCUUCUGUAGUGUUGUUUAGGUUGCUGUAAAAGUUUUCCUUAUGAUUGCUACAUGAGUAUCGGCUGUCUUAUAGCCGGUCAUCUCUACGGUAAAUCGGCCGAUUCGCUGAUACGCUCUUCAAGACAGAUCGGAACUCUAGCCGAUCGAAACCCCUAGAAUUUAAUAUUCUUCUUUCCAUGUCAAUCAUUAGGUCAGAUUGACUGGCAUGCCGCGCGAACCGCACUAGGGCAAUAACUCGAACAGGAGCUAAGUAGAUUCUCCUGGGUCGUGUGUCCGACGCUGAGGGUCAUCGGCCAAUUUUCAGCACCAACACACUUUUGGCAUGCCCGGUGGGACCAAACAAGAUCCAACAUGUCGAAGGCUGCUGAGAUCUUUGAAGAUAACGUCCUUGAAGUCAUUGAAGAAAAUCUCAAGGACGAUCAGAAGGAGGAACUGGCGAGGGCUAUAGAAGAAUACAGGAAGACAUGCCUGCAAUCUUUCAUUCGUACCAGAAGCGGGGAGACAGUCAAGAAAGCUCCUCUCUCCACUUCCCGCCAAAUCACCGUCAUCGAGGACUCAGGGAAGAUGUCUGAGAUGAUUCAACAGUCCGUUUAUCAGGCUAUGAUUGACCAAUCCACGGUGAUGACCAACACUGUAUACAACGCCAUCAUCAGCUCCUUGGUUAGCGGCGUAGCUCAGGGGUAUCAGGGACUAGCGUAUGCUCCUCCCAUCGUGGCACCGAUCAGAGGCUUCUUAGCAGCGCCAAACGUGUGUCACUCGACUCCUCAACUAAUGCAGAUGCAACGUGGAGGGUACUACACUUCAAUGCCCCUGGGGUACAAUGGUGCAUCAUUCUAUCAAUCGCAAGAACCGUCUCAUCCUAUGCCAAUUUCAUCCAUACAAUCGCCGCUCUCAAACUCGGCGCCAUGGGGGGUAGCAGCAGCAACCGCCGGUCUGGAUCCGUCAACCAGUUAUGGAAAGUCUCCAGUCCAGGCGUUAUUCCAAUCGGCCGAGGCCGAUAGCCCCGCAAUACCAAACAACCACUUCAGAUAUCGGCAGGAGGACAGGCGCUCUAGAAACACUCAGGGUUGCGGCGUCGAUAAUAUUGUACGAUGAAGUGACAGAUACACUAUGUCAGCAGCCAUCGGCUACUCAGCCGACAACCCAGCCACAAUAUCUGCAGAACACUCCAGUUUAUCACCCGAUCAUGGAACCGCAAAUCCAACAGCACGUACCGAUUCCUCAGCCGGUCGUGCAUCAGCAGCAGGUUGAUUGGACCGCGAAGAUAGCAGAGGUAAUUCAAGAUCAGUUUGUGUUAAAAGCAAAAGUACAAACUUACAUGUACAAGACGCCAUACCCACUUGCCUACGAUCUGUUACCGUUCCCUCAUCGGUACAAAGUCCUUGACUUCACCAAGUUCUCGGGCCUAGACGACACGUUGACUGUCGAGCACGUUAAUAGGUUCAUCAUCCAGUGCAGGGAGGCUGCUACGCAAGAUGCUUUGAUGGUGCGCUUGUUCUCGUCAUCCCUAUCCGGAUCAGCCUUGCAGUGGUUCACUACACUGCCGCCCAACGCCAUCGUUACCUUGGCCGAUUUGGAAAAGCAAUUCCAUAAGUACUUCUAUGCGGGAAUCCACGAGAUGAAACUCUCAGACCUAACUAGCCUCAAGCAAAGAAGCGAUGAGUCGAUGGCCAGCUACAUACAGAGGUUUAGGAAAGUUAGGAACAAGUGCUACACCUUGGUCUGGACUGACACCCAACUAGCCGAUAUCACCUUCCAAGGACUCCUGCCACACAUCAAAGAGAAGUACGCCUCCCAGGAGUUCGAAAGCUUGAGCCAAAUCGUCCAUCGGCUGUCCGGCCAAGAGAUACACCCUUUCGACCAACGAAGGAACUUUCAAAAGAAGGUAGCUUAUGUGGAAGGGUCUGAAUCGGGAGAGAAGGCGGAAAUCGGCCUAGCAGAGUCGGUAAAAGGAAAAAAGCCGAUAUCAUGCCCGUUUGGAAAAAAGGAACCAGAAACAUUCGGCUUUGACACGUCAAAAGCCGACAAAGUCUUCGACUUGCUGCUUCAAGAGGGGCAGAUCAAACUUUCGCCUUACCACACCAUUCCGUCGGCCAAGCAGCUCAAAAAGAUGAAAUACUGCAAAUGGCACAAUACCACAUCCCAAGACAAAAAUGAGUGCAAGAUCUUCCGACAAUAGAUACAAUUAGCCAUUGAGCAAGGAAGACUCAAGUUCGAGGUUCCAGCAAAACCAGUGAAGCCGAUGAAGAUUGAUCAACAUCCCUUCCCCGCCAACAUGGUCAAUGUAGGAAGAAACGCACUCCAAACCAAAGUUUUGAUGUUAGAAUUGGCCAGGAGAAGCGGUGCAGUGGAUCCCAAAAAUCAGGCCACGAUCGGAGAUGUCAAAGGAAAAGGACGGAUGGAAGAAGAAGGUGAAGGAUCAGAAAGGCCACGUCGGCCUGUCACUUCCCAAGACUUACUCAGCAAGUAUCAGCAGCAGCGGGAAGAUUCAAGACGCCACGAAGAGAUGAUGCGCCGACACGAAGAUCACUGGAGGUGCCCGUUUUUCAUCCACUGCUGGGAGAAUAACCUUAGAUUACCGUCGGCUGAUAAUUGCCCUGAGUGCAACGGCCAGUAUCGCAGUGGUCGUCCGUUCAAUAGAUCACGCUCCAAGGAUCGAGGGCUAGAGCCAAUCAGCAGAAAGAGGCACGAGCAAGGAGAUCGGCGCGUUUCAGUGCGUGAUCGGCUGGGGGGUAGAGUUGACCAGCAUAAUCGGCUGGGGGGCAGAACCAGCGCACAUGAUCGGCUGGGGGGUAGAACCAGCGCACAUGAUCGGCUGGAAGAGAUAGCUGACGCCAAAGUCUCAGAUGAGAACCUCCUAGGGUGAGAAUCAGGCUGGGAGCGUGCAAAGCCGCCGAGUAAACCAGUAAACCCCAGAUGGUGCCCAGCCGGUUUGACUAAGUCCUUGAAACGGAGGGUCCAGCGUUUGCACCAAUGGGAGCAGCAAGAAGAAAAACAAAGGUAGGUGAUGGAUAACAAAGGGGACAGGUCUCGAGUAUGGCGUCCUAGAAGAAAAUCCGACGCAGGAGACUAAAAUCAUGAUUCGACAGCUGACUUCAGCAUGAUGUUCAUCUUGCCGAUGGAGUUCAUGCCUCCCGCCGACCGGGACAAUGCGAUAGAGAUAGAGGAGCAAAUGGCACAAUUGGCUCUGGAGCCAAUGACCGCCACUUUUGAGAAACCCGAGGAUUAAAAACGCCAACAUCUCAAGGCCCUGUUCCUCAAAGGACAUGUCAACGGACGACCAGUCACCAAGCUGUUGGUAGAUGGAGGCGCUGCUGUGAACAUCAUGCCCUAUGCUAUGUUCCGCAAAUUGGGCAAAGGUAAAGAAGAUCUAACAAAGACGGAUAUAAUGCUCAAGGAUUUCGAAGGCAACGUAUCUCCGGCCCGAGGGGCACUCUGCGUCGACCUCACCAUCGGGAGUAAGGCCCUACCCACUAUUUUCUUUGUUAUUAAUGGCAAAGGCUCCUACAACAUGUUGCUCGAGCGAGAUUGGAUCCACGCAAACUGCUGCAUCCUGUCUACGAUGCACCAAUGCCUUGUCCAAUGUGUCGGCGACAACAUCGAAGUAGUCAUCGCCGAUUCCACCUAUAGCGUUGCCACGGCCGACGCACAACAGUGGAGCUACGAUCACGUCAAAUUCAAAUAUGGUAGGGUUUGGGACACCAAUUUCCUAAAGGUGUCCGAUUUCGGUCUACAGCCAAUCCAAGCAGUCAGCUCUAAAGAAUCAAGUUAAAAUGGAUCAGUUCAUCUGAGAAGAUGGGAAGCUCGGGCACGGGUUUACGUCGGCCGAUUCAUUGGAGAUGGUGGACCUUGGAGAUGGCAACAAGCCAAAGCCGACGUAUAUUCGUGCUAGGUUAGAACCCGAGUAUAAGCAUGAAUUAAUGAGUCUUUUACGAGAAUUUAAAGAUUGCUUUGCUUGGGAGUAUCAUGAGAUGCCUGGUCUAGACCGGUCCAUCGUCGAACACCGGUUGCCUAUAAAACCAGGGCAUUGGCCGCAUCAGCAACCUGCACGACGUUGUAAUCCUAAAAUUUUACCUGAUAUAAAGGCCGAGAUUACAAGAUUAAUUGAAGCAGGGUUUAUUCGGCAAUGUCGCUAUGCCGAGUGGAUUUCCAAUAUUGUGCCCGUAUACAAGAAAAAUGGAAAGUUACGUGUGUGCAUUGACUUCAGGAAUGUUAAUCAGGCUAUGUCGAUGGAUGGAUAUCCGAUGCCGAUGGCUGAUGUUUUAAUAGACGCCACCGCAGGACACAAAGUCAUCACCUUCAUGGAUGGUAAUGCUGGGUACAAUCAGAUAUUAAUAGUCGAAUAAGAUAUUUCAAAGACGGCUUUCAGAUGCCCAGGCCACCUCGGUUUGUUCGAGUGGGUAGUAAUGAGUUUCGGUUUAAAAAAUGCUGGAGCUACGUACCAACGGGCUAUGAAUUAUAUAUUCCACAAGCUUAUUUGUGUCCUGGUGGAGAUCUACAUUGACGAUGUCGUGGUCAAAUCAAAAGGGUAUCAGGAACACCUGGCCGAUUUGCGAAAAGUGUUGGAAUGCACAAGAAAGCAUGGGUUGAAGAUGAAUCCAAACAAAGUGUGCCUUCGGCGUUUCGGCUGGACAGUUUCUGGGAUUCAUGAUUCACGAGCGAGGCAUCGAGAUCAAGCGAAAAAUUAUAGUUGCUAUCAACAAAGUCGUGGGCCCCCAGAAUAAGACUGAGCUACAGUACUUAAUCAGCAAGGUUAACUUCAUCCGACGGUUCAUAUCUAACUUGUUCGGGCGUAUUCAAGCUUUCACCCCUUUGUUGAAAUUAAAACCCGAUCAAGAAUUUGUAUAGGGUAAGGAAUAGCAGAAAACAUUAGAUGGCAUCAAACAAUACCUAGUCUCGCCACCAGUAUUGGUUCCGCCGCAGGCCAACAAGCCAUUCAAAUUAUACCUAUUGGCUGAUGAACGAGCUAUUGGGUUGGCGCUGGUCCAGGAAUGUGAAGGAAAAUAAAGAGUAAUCUAUUAUGUCAACAGAAGACUCCUGAACGUUGAAACUAGAUAUCCUCCGGUGGAACGGCUGUGCCUUUGUCUAUAUUUUUCAUGCACCAAACUCAGGCACUAUCUGUUAUCGGCAGAGUGCAUAGUCGUUUGCAAAGAUGAUGUGGUCAAGUACAUGUUGUCAUUGCCGAUUUUGAAAGGGAGGAUUGGAAAGUGGAUUCUAGCUCUCUCAGAGUUCGACCUGAGGUACGAAUCGGCCAAAGCUGUCAAGGGGCAAGUAAUGGCCGAUUUCGUGAUCCAGCACUGUGGACCAGAAAUUACUGUCGAACCAGCUCCGUGGACACUAUACUUUGAUGGGUCUGCGUGUGGGGCCGGAUCGGGAAUCGGCAUCAUCCUCAUAUCGUCUCGAGGGGCAAGUUAUGAUUUCUCUCUGCCGUUUGAGGCGUCCGCUACUAAUAAUCAAGCGGAGUAUCGGGUUGUUCUAAAAGGUAUCCAAUUAUUAAGAGAGGUCAAAGCUGACGUGAUGGAAAUUUUUGAGGAUUCCAUGCUCAUUGUAGAUCAAUUAACUGGAAAGUCUGAAUGCAAGGAUGAUAUCUUGAGGAUUUACUACGAAGAUUGCCUCAAGUUAUUGAAGGAGUUCAAGUCUUUGAUUAUUGAGCAUAUUCCCAGGAAUUACAACGAAGAAGCCAAUAGACUUGCCCAACAUCCUUCCGGGUAUCGGCUGUGUUGACGCCAGAUUUUGACACGAGUAAAAUCGGCGUUAGAAGUGGAAGAAAUUAGGAGAUGCGGCGAGAUACAAGGGCAACGAUUGGAAAUCGGCCGAUUGGUGCUACAGUCAAGGAUCGGUUGGUUGGUGCUGCAGUCAAGGAUCGGCCAAUAGAUGCUACAGACGAGGAUCGGCCGAUUGAUCCUUAGAGUUCCGCCUCGCACGACCCCUGGUUUGGGAUCGGACACGCCCGACCCUCCAAGGGAGGAUCUCCGCCUCGCCCGACCCCUGGUUUGGGAUCGGACGCGCCCGACCCUCCAAGGGAGGAUCUCCGCCUCGCCCGACCCCUGAGGUUUGGGAUCGAACGCGCCCGACCCUCCAAAGGAGGAUCUCCGCCUCGUCCGACCUUAGUUCCCAGGGUCGAAAUGAGUCUGAGCCCUCGAUAUGUGGGUCCUGAUCGGUUACCCCCCUUGCCAAAGAGGUGAUCGGCCGAUUAGGAGGUUGGAAUAGUUGGGCCGAUGUGGGCUCAAGAAGGAUUAUGAAGAUGAAGAGGGGGUCAGCCCAUGAAGCGCGUGAAAAUAGUACGAAUCGUACUUGUAAAUAUUCGUUUUCUGUUUAAAUUUAGGGAUAGAGUUCUAGUCGGAUAAGAAGUCGUUUGUACGGGGCUAUAAAUAGCCACCGUUGUAGAUCUGUAAUCAUCAUCAACUCAAUACAACAAACUACUAUUUCCUCGUACUUACUUUCAAGCAGGCGACUUUACCAACACUUUUUCUCCUUUUUCACGAGUUCGUACGGGUUGGCGGGGCUGCAUCAACUUGACCUCCGGCCGAUCUUGUAAGUUCCGUUUAUCGACUAAAUUCUAAGCUUUAACUUCGGGCGCAUCGCUGUCAUUUCGUUUAGAUUUAUUCAUCAGUUAUCGAUAUUUACUAGAAUUCUAGGUUUUACCUGUUGUUCUAGUUUUAUCACCAAUUAUCCAGCUAGGAAUCGGUAAAUUCGGCUUUCUUUAUACUUCUCUGUCUAAUCUAUUUAUUUUAGCCGAUUAGAUCUGUUCCUAGUGUUGCUACUGUAGCGUUGUUUAGAUUACUCUAGCAGUUUUCUUUAUAAACGUUACCUGGUAAUCGGUUGCACUAUAGCCGAUUUCCUUAUUACGGCAAAUCGGCCGAUUCGCUGAUAAGCUUUCUUGAGAUCGGAACCUUAGCUGAUCGCAACCUCUGGGAACUGACACGUUUAUUUCCUUGCCAAUCAACAGUUCAGAUUGGCUGGCUCGCCGCGCGAACCGUACCAGGGCAAUCACCCGAACAGGAGUUAAGCAGAUUCUCCCGGGUCGUGUGUCCGACGCUGGGAAUUCGGUCAGCUGAUUUCUAGUGCCAACACACUUUUGGCACGCCUAGUGGGGCCAAUACAACCGCCACCAUGUCGAAAGCUGCUGAAGUCUCCGAAGAUAACAUCAUCGAAGUGACAGAGGCAGAUCUCAGGGACGACCAGAAGGAAGAACUAGAGAGGCAGACAGCAUACUACCGGAAGACAUGUCUGCAGUCCUUCAGUCGCACCAGGAGCGAGGAGACUAUCAAAAAGGCUCCGUUUCCAACUCCCCGCCAGAUCACAAUCACCGAGGAUUCGGACAAGAUGUCCGAGAUGGUCCAGCAAUCCGUCUAUCAAGCUUUCAUUGAUCAAUCCCCGGUGCUUUCUAAUACGGUAUACAAUGCCGUCAUCAGCUCCUUGGCUAGUGGUGUAUCUCAAGGGUACCAGGGGCCGGCAUAUGUUCCGCUGAUUAUGGCUCCGAGCAAUGCGGCGACAUGAAGAUCACUGGCGAUGCCCGUUCUUCAUCCACUGUUGGGAAAGCAACCUUAGGUUGCCUUCGGCCGAUAAUUGCCCCGAGUGCAACGGCCCGUAUCGUAACAAUCGGCCGUUCAGCAGGUCUCGCUCCAGAGAUGGGAGAUCAGAGCCGAUCAGCAGGAACUGGCGCGACCAAGACAACCGGCGCCCUCCAGUACGUGAUCGGCUGGGGGGCAGAAGUGACCGGUAUGACCGGUCGGAAGGCAGGCGCAAUGAUGGGCCGGGGGCAGAUUUAAUCGACGUGACCGGCCAGAAAAUAGAGUCAGCGUCCACAGACGACUUGAAUAGAUGGCCGAUGCUCGGGUGUUAGAUGAGAACCCUUUAGGACGCGAACUAGAAUGGGAACGCGCCAGGCCACGAACCAAACCGGUGAACCCCAGGUGGUGCCCCGAUGGAUUGACCAAGUCUCAAAAACGAAGAAUCCAACGUCUCCGCCAGUGGGAACAGCAGGAAGAAGAGCAACAGUACACGACGGACGAGAAGAAAGGCAGGUCUUAGGUAUGGCGCCCCAAAAGAAACGACAGAGGAGGCGACAAAUCAGCAGGCGAUGAAUCGGCAGCCGAUAUCGACAUGGUCUUCAUACUGCCGAUGGAAUUCAUGACUCCUGCCGACCAACAGGACAUGUCAGCAAUAGAAGAGUAGAUGGCGCAAUUGGCUUUGGAGCCAAUGACAGCCACAUUCGAGAAGCCCGAAGAAGACAAACGGCAACACCUGAAAGCGUUGUUUCUUAAAGGGCAUGUCAACGGCCGACCCAUCACCAGAUUACUGGUAGACAGAGGGGCUGCAGUCAACAUCAUGCCGUACGCCAUGUUCCGGAAGCUAGGGAAGAGCAAUGAUGACCUGACCAAGACAGACAUGAUGCUCAAGGACUUCGAGGGCAACGUAUCCCCCGCUCACGGCGCUCUCUGCGUCGACCUCACCAUCGGCAGUAAGACCCUUCCUACUACUUUCUUUAUUAUUAAUGGCAAGGGGUCCUACAACAUGCUACUCGGCCGAGACUGGAUACAUGCAAAUUGCUGUAUCCCAUCUACAAUGCAUCAAUGCCUCGUAUAGUGGGUCGGCGACAACAUUGAGGUGGUCACCGCCGAUUCCGCAUACAGCAUCGCGGCAGCCGACACGCAACAGUGGAGCUGCGAAACCGUCAAGUGCAUAUCCGGGAGAGUAUGGGAUACUGACUUCUUGAAGGUGUCCGAUUUUGGCCUACAGCCGAUCCGAGCAGUCGGCUCUGAGGACUCAGAUUAAAUGGAUCAGUUCACCCGAGAAGAUGGGAAGCUGGGACAUGGGUUCACGUCGGCCGAUUCAUUAGAAAUGAUAGACUUAGGCGAUGGCACCAUACCAAGGCCGACAUAUAUUAGUGCAAAUUUAGAUCCGGAAUACAAAUGUAAACUGACAAGUUUGUUAAGAGAACUUAAGGAUUGCUUUGCUUGGGAAUAUCAUGAGAUGCCCGGAUUAGACCGAUCUAUCGUUGAACAUCGGUUACCCAUAAAGCCAGGGUAUCGGCCGUAUCAACAGCCUGCACGGCGGUGCAAUCCUAAAAUCCUACCGGACAUAAAGGCCAAAAUAACGCGGCUAAUCAAAGCAAAAUUUAUUCGGCAAUGCCGUUAUGCCGAAUGGAUCUCCAACAUUGUACCAGUAUAUAAGAAGAACGGAAAGUUACGCGUAUGCGUCGAUUUCAGGAACCUCAAUCAGGCCACACCAAUGGACGGAUACCCCAUGCCGACGGCUGAUGUACUGAUAGAUGCCGCCGCGGGACACAAGGUUAUUAGUUUCAUGGAUGGAAACGCUGGGUACAAUCAGAUACUUAUGGCCGAAGAAGACAUAUCUAAAACGGCCUUCAGAUGCCCGGGUCACCUUGGUUUAUUCGAGUGGGUGGUAAUGACUUUCGGCUUGAAAAAUGUCGGCGCUACGUAUCAGAGAGUCAUGAACUACAUAUUCCACAAACUUAUCGGCAUACUAGUAGAAAUCUACAUCGACGACGUCGUAGUCAAGUCAAAAGGACACCAGGAGCAUCUGGCCGAUUUACGACAGGUGUUGGAAUGCACUAAGAAACAUGGGCUGAAGAUGAACCCGAAUAAGUGUGCCUUCGGCGUAUCCGCCGGACAAUUCUUAGGAUUCAUGGUGCACGAGCGGGGAAUAGAAAUCAAUCAGAAGACUAUAGCGGCCAUCAACAAAAUUGUGGCCCCGCAGAAUAAAACUGAGCUGCAAUCUCUAAUCGACAAGAUGAAUUUCAUCAGGAGGUUCAUAUCUAAUUUGUCUGGGCGAAUCCAAGCCUUCACACCAUUAUUAAAGUUGAAGCCCGACCAGGAGUUCGUAUGGGGGGAAGAGCAACGCAAGGCAUUGGAAGAUAUCAAGCAGUACUUGGUCUCACCACCGGUAUUGGUCCCUCCUCAAACUGGUAAGCCGUUUAAACUAUAUUUAUCAGCCGAUGAACGAGCUAUUGGGUCGGCUCUGGUCCAGGAGUUCGAGGGAAAGGAACGAGUAAUUUAUUAUGUCAGUAGAAGACUUCUGGACGCCGAAACAAGGUAUCCUCCAGUGGAGCGGUUGUGCCUAUGCCUUUACUUCUCAUGUACCAAACUCAGGCACUAUUUGCUAUCAGCGGAAUGUGUGGUCGUAUGCAAGGACGACGUGGUAAAAUACAUGCUGUCACUGCCGAUUUUGAAAGGAUGGAUCGAAAAAUGGAUCUUGGCUUUGUCGGAGUUUGACCUUCGAUAUGAAUCGGCAAAAGCCGUUAAGGGUCAGGUCAUGGCCGAUUUCGUUGCCCAGCACUGCGGGCCAGAGGCUACCUUCGUAGAACCAGUACCUUGGACCUUAUACUUUGAUGGAUCGUCAUGUGGGGCCGGAUCAGGAAUCGGCAUCGUCCUCAUAUCGCCUCGGGGGGCAAGCUAUGAUUUCUCUCUACCGAUAGAAGCAUCCACCACUAACAAUCAAGCAGAGUACUGAGCUGUACUGAAGGGAUUACAAUUGCUAAGGGAAGUCAAAGCUGAUUCCGUCGAAAUUUUUGGGGAUUCCAUGCUUAUCGUGGAUCAGUUAACAGGGAAAUCCGAGUGCAAGGACGAUGUAUUGAGGAUUUAUUACGAAGAUUGCCUCCUGCUUCUGAAAGAAUUCAAGUCGGCAGUUAUCGAGCACAUCCCAAGGAAUCACAACGAGGAUGCCAACAAGCUCGCCCAACACGCAUCUGGGUAUCGGCCGAUUCAAGGCGCCUUGGCUCUAGAGCUCGCGGCCAAUGACUGGCGAAAGGAGAUUGCCGAUUACCUGAAAGAUCCGUCUAAGAAAGUGGAUCGGCGGGUAUGUUUUCAUGCUACCAAAUAUGUGCUACUGGAAGACGACUUGUUCUACCGAACAAUUGAUGGCGUCCUACUCAAGUGUCUAGGAACGGAGGAGGCUAAGACUCUGAUGGGAGAAAUCCAUGAAGGAGUGUGUGGAGCCCACCAAUCGGCACAUAAGAUGAAAUGGAUGAUUAGGAAUAAUGGGUAUUACUGGCCGACGAUCCUCGAAGAUUGCUUCAAAUAUUAUAAAGGAUGUCAGGAUUGUCAGAAAUUCGGGAAUGUCCAACGUGCGCCCGCAUCGGCCAUGAAUCCCAUUAUCAAACCAUGGCCGUUCAGAGGUUGGGGGAUAGACCUCAUCGGCCAAAUUUAUCCUCCGUCAAGCAAAGGGCACAAGUUCAUUCUGGUGGCCACUGAUUAUUUCACCAAGUGGGUGGAGGCAAUUCCGUUAAGGGCCGUGACAUCGGCUGCUAUGGUUGACUUCGUAAGAGACCAUAUCGUCUACCGUUUCGGCAUCCCCCAGACUAUCACGACCGAUCAAGGGACAAUGUUUACAUCAGGAGAAUUCGAGGAGUUCACAGCCGACAUGGGAAUCAAAUUAUUAAACUCCUCUCCGUAUUAUGCCCAAGCUAAUGGCCAGGUCGAAUCUUCCAACAAGGGGAUAAUUAAGUUAAUCAAGAGGAAGAUAGAGGAGCAGCCGAAAAAGUGGCAUCUAUGUCUGACUGAAGCUCUAUGGGCAUACAGGAUGGCUUGCCAUGGGGCCACUAAGAUGUCCCCUUAUCAGUUGGUGUACGGUCACGAGGCAGUACUACCAUGGGAGUUGAGGGCAGGAUCGAGACGCACUUCGCUCCAGGACCAGUUAGCGGCCGACGACUACUCCUCACUCAUGAAAAGGGAACUUGAUGACUUGGCUGGCCAACGAUUGAGAGCUUUGAUAAGCAUCAAAGAAAACAAGAAGAAAGUGGCCAGGUGGUAUGAUAAGAAAGUCAAAGUCAAACAAUUCUCUCCGGGGGACCUGGUAUGGAAGUUAGUGUUGCCGAUCGGGUCGAAAGAUCCUAAAUUCGGUAAGUGGUCCCCUACGUGGGAAGAGCCGUAUAAAAUCGGCAGAUGUGCUCCAGGAAACGCUUAUAUUCUGGAAACAAUCGAAGGAGAGAAGAGUUUACUAGGGCUUUGAACGGAAGAUACUUGAAAAGGUACUACCCUAGUAUAUGGGUCGGAGCAUAAGGAUCGACCAUGAUGAACAACACACAGCCAAUACAAAAGGAUUCGUCUAGAGAAAAAAACGUAAUCGUCCAAAUCGGCCGAUGUAUUUCAUUCGGUACGGACGGUGGGUUACACGGCCGACAAGGUACAAGUUGCCCUUAGAACAAAAAAAAAUUAAUCACGCUUUUUCUUAAGCUCUCUCUCAGCCCGACCUAGUUCUAUCAGAAGACGGAUGUACUCUUCUUUUAUCUCUUUCAUCGAAGCCUCCGCUUCGACUUGACGGGGGAGAGGGUGACUCCGGUCCAUGGCCGGGCGUGAUGUUCCUACUGCUGCAUCUUCAAGGACGAUUUGAUGAGGAAGCGGAUGACUUCUGUCGGCUUGAGGUCGCCGGUGGUCGUUGCUGUCCAGAAAGUCCCAGAUCCAUCGGAUGUCGGCAGGGACGUGCUCUUGGAGUUCGUCGCGAUGAGCUCUGAUUAAAUCCUUAUCUUCUUGCGACAACGGUUCAUCGGAGUGUACAAGUCCGAUGGCUCGUUCGAGUUCGGGGCUAAGGCGCCGUGGCUGCGGAAAGCAACAAUAUACAUAUAGCUGCCGAAAAGGUGAUUCCCUUCAGAAGAGCUAAACUAAGAAAGAGAAUGAAGGCAAAUCUUUUACCUGAUUAACGGAGGAAGAGGUAGAGGAUGGAGAAGACAUGACUGAAAGGCGCACCGACGUGAACAGGUCGAGGAAGAUGAAGCCGAGUUAGAAAGGUACUCUCGGAACGGUCACCUAGGCCGGUGUUUAUAGGAAAGGAAGGCAUGGAUGUUUGGUAAGACGCGUCCCAUCGGGAGUGUGAAAGGUAAUAAAUAAGGGGGCGUCGCGAAGGACGGUCAAAGGGAUCAUUAAAUGUUCGUACAAGAACUGCCAGCACUUUUACAGGUCACCCAGAAGGGCAUCGAUAGCUGCGAUCGCUCGACGCCGGAUCUGAUCGGCAGAGUCCAGGACCCGUUGGUCAUCCUCUGCCGAUCCGGGGACUUCUAACAUAUGGCGGUGGAGUUUGAGGGCCUCGUGAGCCAGAUGCUGCCUCUCUCGUUUCAGAUCGGCAAUGACAGAAGGGAGUUCCUGAAGCCUCUUCUCUUCGGCGUCUAUUGCUUUGGUCACCUGCUCCAUCUCCUUGGCAAGCUCUGCCCUUCGGCGUUUGAGGCGAUCUAUCGUGCCGACGAUCCCCGGGCGAGAGUCUUCCAGAAAGUGAAUCCGUUGAUGCACCUCUUGAGCUUGACGCUUGUACGUGUCUUCUUCUUCACGAGUUUUGGUCAACUUGACGCGAUCGGCCAUGUGGCGCAGGGCCCUAAAGACUGGAAUCCUCAUUGACUCGAUAUAUGCAGCUGGCGCCAAGGCCUCUUCCGCUUCUUCUGGUACUCGCCCGCUGACGUCACCAAAAAGUUGUUGAAUCAGCGAAGCGUCUUCUACCAAUCGGCCGAUGUCCUCUUGAAGAAGGGAUCGGAUGCUUGCGAGUUUGGCACGGACGUCAUCAGGAACGGAGCUCAAAGUGACCUGGCGAGAGGCGACUUCCUCAUCAUCGGAGAGUGCGACCGCAAACGAGAAAAGGCUGUUGUUGGGGGUGUCCUGUUCCUGAAAAAUAGUGAGUCAAGAAGAAGAACAAAUCAGCCGAUGAUGAUAGCAAAUCGGCUGAGUAAGGGUGAGAAAUCUCUUACCUCCUUGAAACGGAUUUCUUCAAACUGCGUUUGGGAGGCUGUUAUCCUCGAUUCAGGGGCUGGUACCAUUGGUUCGUCAGAAGCUGAAGACUCCACCAUGAUUGGUGCUUUGCUCGGGCCAGCUUCCCGAAAGAUGACCAUUGGUUGGUUAGGUGGGGCGCUAAGCGUACCGGUGACCUGUGUCAAAAGAUUGAAUAAGAAUAUUAUCCAAAUACUAGAAAAAUCGGUUGAAGAGUAGUAUACCUCGGCAGACGGAAGCGUGGGCGUGUUGAUGACCGAUUGGGUUGCUGCCGAUUGUUGUGAGUCCACAGAAGUGAUUUGUGUAGUCUAAAAUAAGAUGAGUCAGUAUAGAGAUGGCAAUCGGUAGGAUCAAACAACAAGUUUACCUGCAUGGCCUCCACCAGUAAUGAUGCAGCGGCCGCCCCAGCUUGCGUGACGACUUGAGUAUCUACUUCUCCAGCAGCUGGAAGGGGCAAUGUGGCCGAAGUUUCUGCCGAUGUGAUCGUAGGAGGGUCGGCCGGUUCUGUACGAGCUCGCACUCGGCGACUGGUCUUCUUGGUAACCUUCUUCUGCGCCUGCUUCGAUCGGCCGGCAAUCACAUCCACGGAAGGGGCAUCGUAGCCGAUAAGGGGGAAGAUGGUGUAUAGGUGAUGGUCCUCUAUCGGCCGGCCACUCCGACUGUGUGUUGGGGGAACGCAGUUUUCAGACUGAAGCAACAGCAAGAUGUUAGUGUACAUAUUUAACCGCAUUAAUAAAGGAAUGAAAAUCAGUUAGGGAAAAAAAAUACCUCGGUGUUCGGAUCGAUGUUGGCUGGAUCCAGGAGGUUGCAGUAUGUCGAUGCGGAGGCACAGAAUAGGUACUGUUUUCAUUCGGCCCACCAUAGCUUGAAUGGUUGGACAACAAAGGGGGCUACUAUCCAGUCAUUCAAGUCUAUGGUACUGGAGUCUGGUAUCCGGUCUCGCAGCCGACUAUAGUCAAGACCCUUGGUGAGCUCAUCUCUGAACUUUGCUCGGCCGACGAAGUAUGCCUGAAUCGGCAGUUGACCCAUGCCGAAUUGCCGAGCUGCAACGGAGGGAUUGUAGAAUUCAUAUGUAGGGGCAUCCUUUCCUGAGAAGAAGUUGGCCGGUAAGAUCCCCGGUUUAAUUAGUUCAUCUGUGAGAUCUUCGUCGAAUCAGCCGGUGGUUGAGUCGAAGCAAGAAGGGAGUUCAAAGAUUGGGUCAUCUCUCCAAUAAGGAAACCAGACGGUUGCAUCUUCAUUGAAGCCGUUAUAAAAACACUGGAAGUAUUCGGCCACCUUGGUAGCAGAGUACGAGCAACCAGAGAAGGCCGAUGCCGCUUCGCCGAAAGACAUACACCGGCGUCGGACAGUGAGAUUCUCUGCCGAUUCGACGCUGGGGAAUGUCAUGUGUUCCACUCGCUGCUGAGAGAUCUCGCUCAUGUACAAGUUCAGCCAUAAGUUAAUGAACCACCAGGGUCCACCUGGGUUUCCAAUUGGCUACCCUUGGGAUAGCUUGAUGCCGAUUUGGUGAAGCAUGUGGUAGGCUGCUCCCAGUAAGUGCUUUCCAAGAGGAACAGAAGUCCCUAUUGAUAAUGCUUCGGCCAGAGCUUGGGUAUUGGUAGAUGGACCAGCUGCUCUCCCACAGAAGAAGUGCUUCUCUAGCCACAUCAUCAGGAAGGCCGUGUGCUCUCUGUUGUCGACAGAUCCGGCCCUUUUGUUGCAUCUGAUGAAACCUUUCCACCUGCCGAUUCCCCUUGUGUCCAGCCGAUGUGAUGUUGCGGUUAUAAGGCGGAAAGGGGUGUCCGGGGAAGAAAUAUCCAGGCCGGUCAGGAAGACUACAUCGGCCAAUGUGGGGGUCAUGGGUCCGUGUCCAAACAGGAAUGCGUUGAGAGCAUUGGACCAGAAGUAAGAAGCUGCCACCACUAAUGGCUCAUUCCGUUCCAUUUGGGACAAAGAUAGAUCGAUGCAUUGGCCAAUUUUGAGCUCGUCCCAUUGGACCUUCUUGGAAGCGGUUAUCCGCUGGUACCAUUCCCUCCAACUGGGAGUUUCGUUCGGCCAAGACCUAAAGGUACUCAACCAGUGAUCUAGGUCCAUAGUUGAUUGUUUGAAGGGGAUCCUAUGGGUUUUCCAAAUUGAUUAAGUCGGUUGGAUCUGGAUUUCCCAUGGGUCCAAGACAGAUAAGGCCGAGGUUUUCUGUGAGACGAAUGGUGAUGCGAUGCCUAACCGCCUAAAAAGGAAAAGGGGGUGCGAGGGUAAGAAAUAGAUCUAAAGUACAUGCAUUACUAAUAAGGGAAAGUUUCGGUAAUGACCUCCGGGAUGAAGCUCCUCGUAAUCGGCGGAGUCGCCGGUGCAGCUGCAGACGAUGAAGCUGCCAAUGGGAUCUCGGAUGAAGCUUCAACUUUCGCCAAUGGAGCUCCUUCUUCCGUCGAUGGAGCCGUCGUUAUCGCUACUGGAACCUCCGCCGAAGGCACCAUUUCUGGAGCUUCGCGCAUUGGUGAGGUGCCUGAAGGUGCCGCCAUUGGAAAAGUAGGAGGCAAUGCGAAAGGAAGGAGGCGCUGGAGAAUUGGUGGACUAAGGAAAGUGUUGGAGGAAGAAGAAAGCCUGUGCACUGAAGAAGAUGGACAUGAGCUCGUAAGGAGUACGGGAUGUGCUGAUAUUUAAAGAACGUCUGAGAAGGGGUAAAAGUGGAAUUUUUACCGCGCUGGCGUUUUGAGUUUUUCGGGAGUAGUGGUUGUCGUGGGCACCCGUUUCGAAAAGAUUGCAAUCAUCAGGUUGGAGACCGCGAAAUGGAAGGAUGUUUUCAUUGCGUCUGUUUCGGAUGAGAAGUUGAAAAGAAUUUUGAAGUAAAGACUAUGUUUUACUCCGAAACUGGGAGGCAUGUGUUGACGCCAGAUUUUGACACGAGUAAAAUCGGCGUUAGAAAUGGAAUAAAUUAGGAGAUGCGGCGAGAUACAAGGGCGACGAUUGGAAAUCGGCCGAUUGGUGCUACAGUCAAGGAUCGGUUGGUUGGUGCUGCAGUCAAGGAUCGGCCAAUUGAUGCUACAGAUGAGGAUCGACCGAUUGAUCCUUGGAGUUCCGCCUCGCCCAACCCCUGGUUUGGGAUCGGACGCGCCCGACCCUCCAAGGGAGGAUCUCCGCCUCGCCCGACCCCUGGUUUGGGAUCGGACGCGCCCGACCCUCCAAGGGAGGAUCUCCGCCUCGCCCGACCCCUGAGGUUUGGGAUCGGACGCGCCCGACCCUCCAAAGGAGGAUCUCCGCCUCGUCCGACCUUAGUUCCCAGGGUCGAAAUGAGUCUGAGCCCUCGAUAUGUGGGUCCUGAUCGGUUACCCCCUUGCCAAAGAGGUGAUCGGCCGAUUAGGAGGUUGGAAUAGUUGGGCCGAUGUGGGCUCAAGAAGGAUUAUGAAGAUGAAGAGGGGGUCAGCCCAUGAAGCGCGUGAAAAUAGUACGAAUCGUACUUGUAAAUAUUCGUUUUCUGUUUAAAUUUAGGGAUAGAGUUCUAGUCGGAUAAGAAGUCGUUCGUACGGGGCUAUAAAUAGCCACCGUUGUAGAUCUGUAAUCAUCAUCAACUCAAUACAACAAACUACUAUUUCCUCGUACUUACUUUCAAGCAGGCGACUUUACCAACACUUUUUCUCCUUUUUCACGAGUUCAUACGGGUUGGCGGGGCUGCAUCAACUUGACCUCCGGCCGAUCUUGUAAGUUCCGUUUAUCGACUAAAUUCUAAGCUUUAACUUCGGGCGCAUCGCUGUCGUUUCGUUUAGAUUUAUUCAUCAGUUAUCGAUAUUUACUAGAAUUCUAGGUUUUACCUGUUGUUCUAGUUUUAUCACCAAUUAUCCAGCUAGGAAUCGGUAAAUUCGGCUUUCUUUAUACUUCUCUGUCUAAUCUAUUUAUUUUAGCCGAUUAGAUCUGUUCCUAGUGUUGCUACUGUAGCGUUGUUUAGAUUACUCUAGCAGUUUUCUUUAUAAACGUUACCUGGUAAUCGGUUGCACUAUAGCCGAUUUCCUUAUUACGGCAAAUCGGCCGAUUCGCUGAUAAGCUUUCUUGAGACCGGAACCUUAGCCGAUCGCAACCUCUGGGAACUGACAUGUUUAUUUCCUUGCCAAUCAACAGGUCAGAUUGGCUGGCACGCCGCGCGAACCGCACCAGGGCAAUCACCCGAACAGGAGUUAAGCAGAUUCUCCCGGGUCGUGUGUCCGACGCUGGAAAUUCGGUCAGCUGAUUUCUAGCGCCAACAGGCUCAUUUAUGUCGCCUGACACGCGAAUAUGCACUUUAACCAAGUCAACCUGGUCGACCGUCGGAUUUCAUCCGAUGAACCACUUACACAGGAUCAAGAAGCAUCGCUCAAACGAAGGUGAGUAGCACAGAGGUUACAACAUUCCAUUAUGACAACUUAGUUCCACAAUUUAUUACAUCAGAGUUUCAGAAAUUCAAACAAGUUGCAAGGUUCGAAAAGUCGGAUAAAACAAGCGAAAACUAAACGUCGAUACAGGAUAUCAUGACGAAGUUGAUCAUGACAUCAAAAAUCCCUACCCUCACCGUCCGAGGAGGGAUCCCACUCGAUUGUCCAGCCCGGAGGGAGCUGGGUAGGCCAAGUGGUGCCAGCAACCAAACUAUUGACAUGACCUGAAAAGAUUAAGCCAUAACAAGGCUGAGCAACUAAUACUCAGCAAGACUGACCCGUCGAGUGAAAAGCUUUACCAAGACCUAGACAUGCAAGGCUUUCUGGCUCUGGGAUUACUUUGCCAAAAGCAUCUACAGUCGGUCCUUACUUUCAAUAUUUUAGCUUAAGUUCUACGUUCUUUAACCAGUCUAGAUUAGCAACUUAUACUAAACAAGCAUAAUUUCCAAGUAGUUAAAUAACAAGCAUCAACUUAAUCUCAUAAUCAUGUUUCAUCGUUACUCAGUGCAGAAUAGCGAUCAAGUAGUCCCAAACUGUGAGAGACAGAUGAAUCGAUUCGAAUUUAUUAACCAUGCAUGGCGAACCUAAUCUCACGACAUCCGCGCACCACGAAGGGUCGCUUCAUUUGUCAGCCGUCCCCAUCGAUCCCUUAGGCACGUGUCAGGGCCAAACUGCCUUUGGCGUGCAAUGCUCCACAGUCCCGACCUCUGUCGUACUGUGACCGCCACUGCACCCACAUGAUGCACCAUGGGAACGACGUUCCAAGGACAGCAGGAGUAUAAGCCACGUCCCAGUUCAGUCAGGUACUAGGCUUCCCCAUCCCAGACUAGGUAUGAGAUUAGUACUUUCAAACACUUGAUCACGAACGCUGACACGUUUCAACCUUAGAUCAAUUUCCUUUAGACAGACGGGGAAAACCACCAAGUAUCGAACAUAAGCCCGACCCCGUCCGUCAUCCUUAUAGUUGCAACAUAAAUAAACAUUCAACUCCUAUAACUCGCGAGUGAUAGGAAAUCACUCGACUUUUACUGAAACCUAAUAAGCAUUGCAACUACUCGACUUUAGCAACUAGUAUUCAAACAAGGUACUAAGUUCAUGCAUCUACGGUUUCAAUCAACUCCUACACACGUAAAUGCGCAAACAUAAACAUCAACAUGUUGCAUAAAGUAAAACAGGGAAGUCAUGCACCGGGGCUUGCCGUCAGGAAGAGUUAGCGGGUCCUCGGGGUCUUGAUCCGGCUCAGGCUCGCCUUCCAAGUGGUGAAGCUCCGCAGCGGGGUCUUCCUCCGGUGUCGGGUGGAGCUCGUAGGUUCCAUCGGCGAGAUUUGCUUCUAUACGACAUGCAUAUGCAAAAGUUUAGUUGGACUCACGCGUUUAUUCAACGACACAAGGCUUGGCUUAAGACAAGGAGUUGCAACAGCCACAUUCACUUUGACGAGGUUCAACUUUCAUGCAACUUCAAACGAAUGUGGUCGGUUUAAACUUGAGUUCGAGUUGAAUGGCGAUUGUGUACAUAUAUAGUUUUCUUACACUUAGAGUUGCAUAAAGAGAAUGAAAGGUCGUGUUUGGGUGGUUUGGGUGCAUUAGGAUAGUUACUUACUUCUGAAUGUUUUUAUGUACCUCUUUCAAUUUCCACUUAUUUAUCGUAUUAGAAUUUGUGCUUUCCUUUUAUUCCUUUAGGUUGAUUAAUUAACCAAAAUGACUUCAUAUCCAAACAGCAGCUAAAGGCACUGAUAAAAUUACAACACCUCACUUAAGCCAUAGCUGGGUUACUCUAAAAUUUUGGGGGCCAUUGGAUGACUUAAAAAGGAAUUACAUGCAUUUUAUUAUUAAAGGUAAAAUGAGCUUAACUUUUUCUAUCUUCAAAGUUACUAUGCAACAGAGGGUGAAACUUAACCAGUGUGUUAAGGGUAUGUUACAGGAUCUUUGGCGAAUUUUUCAUAAUUUUUGAAGAAGGUUAACUAUUUACUCUAUUUCCUUUUUAAUUAAACAUGCUUAGCAAGGAAGGUGUUUUUUCUUUCCGAAUUGCACAACAAUUUACAUUUUUCCUGCAAACUUCACAGCAAAACAAAAUUAACCCAACUAGUUUCACAUUUUUUUGAGCUCUGGAUCAAAACGUAUGCAAAAAGGAAGAAUUAAUCUUAGAUUCCCAAAUUAAAGUCAAAACAAUGACUUAAAGUGCUAGACCAGAGCCCUAACCAUUUUUCUGAGCUUCUACACAUAGAAACAAGCAUCACAGAGUUGGUUUUACAUUUUUCCCACUUUUCUUCUAUUUAAUAGGAUUAAAAAGGCCUAAACCAUGAUUAAAAGCAUAUGAUAUUAUUUACAACAGUAACAUGAGCAAACUUAUUUUUCUUAGGAACUAGAUAGAGCAAGGAUUCCAACAAAAGUGGUUUGGUAUUUUUAUGAUUUUUCUACGAUUUACUGGGCAUUUACAAAGUUCAACCAUAUUUCUACCUAUUAUUUAAAAGAAAAGCCGUGGCAAACUUGCAGGUUAGCCCCUGGGUCUAUGGGUUAACUACGCAGAGGUCCCUGAGUUUUGCGCCCAGGCCCCUGGAAAGAAUGGGGAUGAUGCAAUGUAGUCCCCAGGGCGCGCGCGGCGGCGGCGAGGAAAUCCCCGGCGGUUCGUCGGCGGGGAUGGGGCAACAAGUGGUCGGAGGGGUGCGGGGGCUCACCUGAGCUCGGUUUGGUGGGGUUGGGGCGACGGAGAUGGUCGGUAGGGAUCAAAACACGGCGGCGGCGACAGAGCUUGGCUGGUGGCGGUGCAGGCGUCGUUCCGGCGCACUGGCGGCGUCGGGGAGGCCACGGGCUGCUCGGAGACGUGCGCGGAGGGGGGGCGAAGUGGGCGGCGAAGUUGCCGGAGUACGGGGUGGCGCGGAGGGGUGAGCUCCACGGGAGCUUAGCGGCGGCGCUGAGAAGGAAGCAGAGGCGUGGUUGCGAGCGGUGGCAAAGGGUGGCAUUGCCGGUGAGGGGGACCCUUUUAUAGGGCAGCGGUGGAGCGGAGGGUCGAGGUGGGGCUCCGGUGGAGGAAGGAUAAGGCCGGGAGCGGUGCGUGCGCGAGCGAGGCGGCCAUUGGCCAGCGGUGCCAUUGGGCAGGGGAGGCGGAGCUCCGGGUGGUCUCUGGCCGCGAUUGGCCUCGAGCGAUGCGUGUCUGAGGCCUCCGGUCUGUCGGCGGGCGAAGCGGAGGGCCACCGCGGGGGUUGGGCGAGCGGGCGGAGGCGCGGGACGUCGUUGGCGUGGUGGCUUCUCCAGCGGGUGGGCGAAGCGCGGUUGGGCAGAGCAGAGCCGCGGCAGAGGGAAGGGCACGCGCGCGGCCGACGGUUGGCCAGCCCGGCGUUCGCCCCGUCUUGUCGCAGGCGCGGGUUGGGCGCCGUGGCUCUCACCUUAUCGUUGUCUCGCCGGGGAUAGGGCGCCGGUGAGCUGCCGGUGGCCAGCGGCCACGAGGCACGCGGUGCGCGGGCGAACAUGCCCUGGCGCGCGGGCGUUGAGGCCCCUUCGGGCAGUAAGCCCGACCAGCUUUGAGAGAUCCUAUCUCAAGAUUUUGCAACACAACUUCCAAAACUCUUCUAAACAAACUUGUUCAACUCUGGACGUAGUUCAAACUUGGUUUAAGGUGCUGGUUUAGAUUGUGAAAGGAUUUGGAGAUAUCUCAUGCCAAAGUUUGCCAAAAAUAUGGAAAUCCAGACUUAGCCAAUUUUGGCCGGAGAGGUGGAAUUUCAGGAACUUAGCUAUGUUUGAGUCAACUUUAGGGCAGCUUCCAAGUUGAAUUAGACAGAAGUGUUAAUAGAGGAGUUGCUCUCCAAACUGAGGACUUCAACUUCUAUUUAGGGUAUUUCUGGAGUUUAGUUCAGAAAUUUGGAGGAACGCCCUCGCCAAGAGGUGCACUCUGAGCAGUUUUCCAGACUUAGCGUUGUGGUGCUCAGGGGCUGAGUUGACUGCUUUGCUCAACUUUGACCAAGAUUUUGAACAGGUUCUGGUUCGAUUUGGACCUGGGUCAUUGUAACAAACUUGGAAAACACUUGAGGUAUUACAACCUUUAUUAAGAGCCUGACUUGAGUUUAGAUAUGAAAUCGUGAGAUAAAGGCUUGCAAAGUUGGAGGAAAACUUGAAUUCCACGACUUGGAGGUUUAUAGGGUUCUUUAUUAUUCCGGUUUUGAUUCCUGUUUUUGACUUCCUCCCACUCCGAAUUAGCCAAAGUGACUUUAACAAAUAUUGUUUGAAAUUAAAAGUGUUACAACUCUUAUUUGGGCAAAAUUUUAAGUUUGUAUAUAAAAUCUCAAGUUUUAUUUUAAACUCCAUAAAGAGCUUCUUAGGGUUAAAAUGGUCAUUUCACUUCCUUUACUUAGUGAUUAACCACUGGUUUAUAUUUAAAGCACUUAAUUUAGGUAGAGUUGUUACAAGUAUCCACUCACUACUUUACCAAAUGGGUGCAGGCAGUCCCUCUGAAGACCGUGACGUUGGCCGUCAUGAUUGAAUUCAUAAGCGAGCACAUUAUCUAUUGGUUUGGUAUUCCUCAGACUGUUACGACCGAUCAGAGAACAAUGUUUACUUCAGGAGAGUUUGAGGAGUUCACUUCCGAUAUGGAAAUUAAGUUGUUAAAUUCUUCUCCAUAUUACGUUCAAGCUAAUGGUCAGACCGAAUCGUCCAAUAAAGGGAUAAUCAAGUGUAUCAAGAGGAAGGUAGAGGAGCAACCAAAGAGAUGGCACAUGACUUUAAGCGAGUCUUUGUGGGCCUACAGGAUGGCCUGCCACGGCGCUACUAAGGUGUCUCCUUAUCAAUUAGUGUAUGGAUAUGAGGCGGUGCUCCCUUAGGAAUUGAGGAUGGGGUCUAGACGCACGUCGAUUCAAGAUUAGUUGACAGCCGACGAUUAUUCUCUCCUUAUGAAAGGGGAGCUUGAGGAUUUGGUGGGUCAACGAUUGAGGGCCUUGAUCAGUAUUGAAGAGAAUAAGAAAAGACUUGCCAAGUGGUAUGACAAGAAGGUCAAGGUCAAGCAGUUCUCGCAAGGGGAUUUGGUAUGGAAAUUGGUAUUGCCGAUAGGGUCUAACCAUCCCAAAUACGGCUAGUGGUCGCCUACUUGGGAAGGGUCGUAUAAAUCGAUCGAUAUGUGCCAGGAAAUGCAUACGUAUUAGAGACCAUCGAGGGAGAGGAAUUUACAAGAGCCUUAAAUGGGAGAUAUUUGAAAAGAUACUAUCCCAGCAUAUGAGUGGACGCGUAGCCGAUGAUAUAGUGUAUCGAGUCGUUAUGGCCGAUUCCUAUUGACUCGUGUUUAUAUAGCCGAUGCAGGGAGGCAUCGCCUUGAGGACGAAACCUCUAAUCAAAUUGGCCGAUUAUUAUUCGGUACGGUGAUUGGAUACAUGGCCAACAUGGUACAAGUCGCCCUUAGACCAAAAGUACCAAUACAUCUAUCGGGUUACAAUAUGAUUAACUGCAUUUCAACUGGGCUUUGUUUUUAUUGAUCUCUCUUUGGACCCGGCCUAGUUCUAUUAAGAGACGGGUGCUCUUUUCCUCCCUAUCCGCCAUGGCAUCUUUGAGAGCGACCUGGCAGGGUAGCUGAUGACUCCUCUCAAUUGGCGGCUGAGGUGGCUCCCUGGAGCUGUUGGCUUCGAUGUGAUCCACGAUCUUCUUAAUGUGGGUCGGAAGAUGGUCUUUAAGCUCCUCACGGUGGGCUUUGAUCAGGUCUUGGUCCACCUGCAUCAGUGGUUCCUCAGAGUGCAUAAUUUCGAUAACUCGCUCAAGAUCAGGGCUGAGCCGGGUCGGCUGGACAAACAGCGGGCAAUCAGUUGUCGAAAAGAAUUGGUCAAGGAGCGCAAGGCUGAUCUCAUACCUCAUUGACGGGGGAAGAAGAAGACAUCUUGGCGCCCGGUUAGGGAUCUGAAAAUGGUCGAGCAGAGUGUAGAAGGAUGGAUGAGAUACGAGUGCCUCUGGGAGGAAUGUAGGGACCCCAUAUUUAUAGGAGAAAAGGUAAGGGGCAACGGUUGGCAAAGGCAUCUAUUCAAAGCAGAUGAAUGUUGAGCUAAAAGCUGCGAAGAGGAAACGUUCAAGUCCGUAUUCACACAAUGAUGGCAAAAGGGGCAUUAAAUGUUUGUGCAGAGGUGUUCAAAAGAUAAUUCAAUGUUUUGAUACAUUCAUUCAAGAAGAAUAUUAAUGGCCGCGAUUGCCUACUGGCGGAUCUGAUCCGCUGAAUCUAGAACUCGUUGGACAUCUUCGGCUGAUCCAAGAAUUUCUAGCAUGUUGCGAUGAAGCCGGAUGGCCUCAUGCGCAAGGGUUUGCCUCUCCUGCUUCAGAUCAGCGAUGACGGUCGUGAGAUCAUGAAGAUUAUUCUUUUUGGCGGUUAUAGCCUUUGUCACCUACUCCAUCUCCUUGGCAAUCUCUGCCCUAUGCUAUUUGAGACGGUCUAUUGUGCCGACGAUGUCUGGGCGAGAAUUUUCGAGUACGCCGAUUCGGUGAUGUACCUCUUGAGCUCGGUGUUUGUAGGAAUCCUUCUCUUCACAUGGCUUUGCCAGCUUGGCAUGAACGGCCAUGUGCCGCAGGGCUCUGAACACCGGGAUUUGCAUUGACUCGAUGUAUGUAGGAGGUGCAAGAGCUUUUUCUACAUCCUUCAGGACUCGGCCUUUUAUUUCGCUGAAGAUUUGCCAAAUCGGCGAAGCGUCUUCCACCAAUCGGCCGAUGUCAUCUUGAAGAAGUGCUCGGAUUCUCUGGAGCUUUGCACGUACUUCUUCCGAAAUUGAACCUGGAGCCACUUGUCGAGAGGCUACCUCUUCAUCAUCAGAAACAGCGAUCGCAAAUGAAAAGAGGCUGUUAUUGGGCGUAUCUUGUUCCUAUAAAAGUAAGAGAGGAAGGAACGGAUUAGCCGACAGUAGUGGGAAAUCGGUCGGAUUGGAUGUCGAAGGCCCUUACCUGUUUAAAAUGAAUUUUCUUCUGUUUGUGUUUGGGGGAUUGCUACCCUUGUCUCAGGAAUCAGCAUGGUUGGCUCGUCAGAAGAAGAAGACUCGACGGUGAUCGACGUUGUGUUUGGACCGGCUUCCUGAAAGUAACAAAAGGAGAGUCUCUAUAAGUAUGAAGCAAUAGUUAGAUCUAAGGAUGAGUACCAGUUACUUUACCUCUGUGAGUCGUCCGGCCGAUGACUGUUGGAAAGGUAUGAUUGAUGUACCCAGAGUGGCCUACAUUAGAAAUCGGUCAUUUUUGACUAAGGAAUAAGAGACUUGAGUAAGAUGUAUGUUCUUUACCUCAGCUGCAAGGAUUGCUGGUGGUUCGGUCUCUGCUUGGGAUGCGACCGAUUGCUGUGAGGUUUGCUCCGAAAGAAUUUGCGCAGCCUAACAAAAAGUGGAAAUUAAUACUGAUAGUAUACUUGGAGAAAUGUGAAGCAUAUAAAGUUACCUGAACAUCUUUUACCAAUAAGGAUGCAGCUGCUGAUCCGGCUUCCGUAGCGGCUUGGGGGUCGACCUCCUGGGCGAUCGGCAGAGUUGGUGUGGCUGAAGACUCGGCUGGUGGCACCGCCGAUUGAUCGGCCGGUUCUAUACGGGCGCGCACCCGGCGGCUUGUCUUCUUUGAAGAGGAUAUCUUCAUCUUCUGCUUCAAUCGGCCUGUGAUGAUAUCUUCGAUUGACGGGGACUGAAAGCCGAUGAUUGGAAAUGAAGUAUAUGGGUGGCGAUUCUCUAUCGGCCUGCCACUACAGUUGUGCGUUGGAGAGAGUUGGCUUUCAGACGACAAGAAAUGAGGGAAAUCAGUGGUAAUACUGUAAGAGUACGGUGUCAAAUCGGCCAGAAGGAUUGGUACCUCUGCAUUCGGAUCAAUGUUAGCGGGGUCCAGAUCAUUACAAUAUGUUGUAGGAGAUGUGCAGAAGAGGUGUUGUUUCCACUCACCCCACCAUAGCUUGAAUUGUUGGACAGCGAAGGGGGCCACAACCCAGUUGGCCAAUUCGAUGGUACUGGAAUCCGGCGUCAAGCUGCACAGCUGAUUGUAUUCAAGACCUUUAGAGAGCUCCUCCCGACACUUAACGCGGCCGGCAAAAUAAAUCUUAAUCGGCAUUUGUCUGAGGCCGAAUUGCCGCGCUGCCACUGAUGGGUUGUAGAAUUCAUAGGUUGGGGAGUCUUUUCCUGAGAAGAAGUUUGCUGGUAGGAUCCCAGGCUUGAUCAAAGUAUCCAUAAGCUCAUUAUCGAAGUAAUUGAUGGUUGAAUUGAAGCAGUCGGGGUUUUCAAAGAGUGGCUCAAUUCUCUGAUAUGGGUACCAGCUUGUAGUUUCUUCAUUGAAGCCGAUAUAGAAGCAUCUGAAAUACUCAGUUGUAUUUGUGGGGGUAAACUUGCUGCCAGGAGAAGCUGACGCUACCUCGCCAAGGAAGUGCAACGCCGUCUUAAUGUUGGGUUAUCCUCUGAUUCAAUAUUGGGGAAUGUCUUGGUCUCAACUCGUUCCCUGGAGAUCUUGCUCAUGUAUAAGUUGAGCCAGAUGGUGAUAAACCACCAGGGGCCACCAGAGUUCCCAAUCGGCUCUCCGGAUGACAGCUUGACUGCGAUUUGGUGCAUCAUAUGAUGAGCCAAUCCUAGCAGGUGUUUUCCUAAGGGGAUAGUAGAACCUUUUGCUAGGGCCUCGACCAGAGCCUGUGUAUUGGAGGAGGGGCCAACUGCUUUGCCACAGAAGAAGUGCUUCUCUAACCACAUCAUCAGGAAAGCUGUGUAUUCUCUAUCGCCGAUAGGACCGGUCUUCAUAUUUUUAUCAAUAUAGCAUUUCCACCUGCCGAUUCCCUUUGUUUCCAGGCGAUGGGUUGGUUUGAUCAGGAAAUUGAAGGGCAAGUCGGGGGAAGAGAUGUCAAGACCGGUCAGCAUCAGGACGUCGGCCAAAGUAGGGGUCAUGGGCCCAUGUCCAAAAAGGAAAACAUUGAGAGCGUCAGACCAGAAAUAAGAAGCUGCCAUGACCAAAGGUUCAUUCUUCUCCAUUUGAGACAGAUAUAAGUUUAUGCAUUGGCCGAUUUUUAGUUCAUCCCAAAGAACCCUCUAAGAAUUGGACAUCCUUUGAAACCACUCUUUCCAGCCAAGGGUUUCGUUCGGCCAAGAUCUAAAUGCACCUGUCCACUGGCUUAAAUCCAUUGGUGACUGCUUGAAAGGGAUCAUGUGGGUUUCCAGGUUGAUCAAUUCAGUGGGAUCUAGAUUCCCCAUGGGGCUAAGACCGACGAGGCCGGGUGCGUCAGAAACAGGGAUGGUGAUUUGCUGCCUAAGUUCCUAAAAAGGAUACAAAAGGAGAACUAAGAACAGAUCUAAAAGAUGCGUGAAUGGUGAAAAGUAAAAGUAAAAACUUUGGGAUAUUUACCUCUGGAAUGAAAGCCAUAGUCGCCUAUGGAGCCGCUAUUGGAGUAAACAGAAUAGGAUGGACGGAAGAUGAAGGAGGAAUCACCGUAGGAAUGCAGUUGGAAGAUGAAAGGGUGCCGAAAUGCGAUGGAAGAUGAUUCGCCGGGGAAAAAAGAGUUUCCCAGCUUGUGGAGAAGAAGCGGCGGAGAAUGCAAAUAUUUAAAGAUGGUUCGAGAGAAGGGUAAAGGUGGGAUUUUACCGCGCUGUCUGCACAAAUUUCGGGAAGAGCGGUUGCCUGCGAGCGCCUAGCUCGAAAAUUGUGAUCAUCAGAGAGAAGACCGCAGAACAGAAAGGAGCUUUCGCCGUGCCCGCCUCGGAGGAUGAGUUAGAGUUGAAAAAAAUUUGAAGCAAAAAGUUUCACUCUGAAACUUGGGGGCAUGUGUUGACGCCGGAUUUUGACACGUACUUGAAAUCGGCGUCAAAGAAGGAGAAAGGGGGGCCGAUGCGGCGGACUAGAAGCUACAGUUGGGAAUCGGCCGAUUGAAGCUACAGUGUUUCAGCCGAUUGGUGGAAGAAAUCGGUGGAGGCUGGCCGAUUGAGAGCCAAAGCAGUUUGGCCGGUUUGGGCCUAAGGUGGACCAGGAUGAAGAUUUGCUGAAGAGACAGGCCCGUGGGAAAAUAAUAACCAACUCGAAUAUGAGUCGUGUUUGUAACUAUUUGUUGUCGUUUGAAAUUAGAGAUAGAUUCUAGUCGGUUAUGAAAUCAGUUGCAACAGGCAAUAAUAGCUGCCUCGAGAGGCUUGUAAAAAAAUAACACACAAUCAAUAAAACAAAUUUACUCUUUCCUCGUACUUUACUUUCAAGUCGGCGACUUCGCCAAAACCUUUUUCUUUCACGAGUUCGUACGGAUUGGCAGGGCUGCAUCUACAUGAUCUCCGACCGAUUCUGUAAGUUCCGCUUAUCGAGUAAUAUCUAAGCUUUAACUUCGGGCGCAUCGCUGUUGUUUCAUUUAGAUUUAUUCACUAGUUAUCGAUAUCAACUACAGUCAUAGGUUUUACCUGUUAUUUUAGUUUUUAUCACCAAUUAUCCAGCUUGAGGUACGAGCUAUCGGCUUCUAUUAUUUUUAUCCUUUAUCAUCACAUAGCUGAUUAGAUCUACUCCAAGUGUUGCUUUUGUAGUGUUGUUUAGGUUGCUCUAGAAGUUUUCCUUACGAUUGCUACGUGAGUAUCGGCUGUCUUAUAGCCGGUCAUCUCUAUAGUAAAUCGGCCGAUUCGCUAAUACGCUCUUCAAGACAGAUCGGAACUCUAGCCGAUCGAAACCCCUAAAAUUUAAUAUUCUUCUUUCCUUUGUCAAUCAACAGGUCAGAUUGACUGGCACGCCGCGCGAACCGCACCAGGGCAAUAACCUGAACAGGAGCUAAGCAGAUUCUCCCGGGUCGUGUGUCCGACGCUGAGGGUCAUCGGCCAAUUUUCAGGGCCAACAACAGCUUUUGGGCAAAAGCAUAUAGGACUUUUAGGGGGUGUUUGGCAUGGCUCUAGAGCUGAACUCCGGUAACUCCAGCCAAUUUUCCAGCCAAACACCCUAGCUCCAAAACUCCAUGGAGCUGCAGUGCAAAUGGGAUGGAGUUUUGGCGCACCUCUUUUGUAGCUCCAAAACCACCUAAUAUGAACCUCCUCGUGGAGUUGGUGGGUAAUUAACCAUCAAUGCCACUGAUUAAAAUAAAAAUGAUUCACUUCUAUUUUCUCUCGAGACCCCUCCCCGCGCCGCCCGAGGCCUCCUGAUGCCGCUCUCCUGCGCCGCCGCCUAGCGCCGCCGACAGCUGCUGUCGCCGUCCGUGCCCCGCGUCCUGCGGGCUACCGCCUCGCCAUCCCCAUGAGCCCCCUGCACCGCCGUCAGAGCCGCCAGCCGAGCCGCUGCGGCCGGGUUUCCGCCGUCUUGCCGCCUCUUUCCUCAACUGGAGUGAGCCAUCAGCAGCAGCAGAUUCCCCUCGGCGAGCCACGCCCGUUUCGCCGGUUCCGUUGUCACCCUGCUGCCGGAGUGCCGCCGCCACCGUGAAAACCGCCCGCCCCCCGAUCUCCACCACCACGCUGACCACCUCCGUCCAUGCCCUCCGCCGGUGAGCACACCCGUAGAUUCCCCUCGACCCCCUCUUCCUCUUGCGCCACCUGCCCAAAACACCACCUCGCCGGAGCGCCAGCAAGCUAGCUGGCCAGAGCCCCGGUGAGAGGAGGAAGAAGGAACCUGGCUCUUUUGUGAUUGGGUCCUUGAGGAAAGCUAAAAUCUUUUGCUCUGUUCCUUGCUCCCGGCGAGAGGAGGAAGAAUAGUGGGCUUCUGUGGUGGAGGGCGAGAUCGAACCAGGAGUCAGAAUGUCAAUCUACCCUCAAACUCCUCUUUUCUGGAGUUGGGAACACCCUCCCAACCAAACACCUUCAUCAGACAGCAGGUUGAAAAGAGGCACAUGAGGCUCAGCCGCUUAGGCCCACGGGCAAAAAAAAAAAACUCUUACUUUAUGGCGGAGUAGUUGCUGUUCCAGUGUGCAGGUAAAUUGUCGCAAAUGCCCUCUUGUGGUCGCGUUGCAGUAGCCGAUAAGGCGUCCAAACGUGAGGUGCACACACCUGAUCUGAUCCUCUCAGUGGAAACGGGCCAGGUCCAUGCAACCCAGGACAGGAAGGCUCUAUACCUGGGCCGAACGGUAGCCCAAGAGGCCGACAGUAAGUGAGCUCACGGGUGACGAACGGCCCAGAAGCCGCCCCAAUCCGGCCACCGCCACUGAGCCGGCUCGACUAAACCGGAUCGCCACGCAGCCCGACCGCGCAGGCGUACUUCCCGAACUACCCCCGGAGAUUAUCCAAUCGGACGGCCAAGCGCCACGCACUGCCAAAGAAUUCCCCGAAAUGACCCUACUCUUCCCUUUGCCUCCCUCGCGUGCCGCCGGUUCUGCUCGACCGGACCAGCGGUUCAGGCGCCGAAUAUUCGCCCGCGGAUAUUUCUUGCCCGGUGCGUCAACUCCGCCGCUAUAAAUACCCUCAUAGGGCGGCCGCUAGGGUUUUAGUGCUUCUCUCCCGGCGGCGCCUCCACAUAUCGUCUCUCAGAUCGGGAGGCGAAACCAAGGUGACUGACCUCAUCCCCUUUCUCCUCCCUCCGUCUCUGGUUGCUAUAGCUAUUUCAUCCAUGCGCUGUCCUUAUAGCUGAUUAGUAUUUUUACUAGUGGAGUUCGAGUCGUUUUGGUUCCAUUCAGUAGUGCUUGUGUUGAUUGGAUUGAAUCGGAGGACUCGAAGUGGUUUGUGCUGCUCGAAUCGUAAGUUUGUUGGGCUAAUCUCGAUGGAAUUUAUGUCAAUUCGUUGGUUUAGUGGUCCUUGGCAGUUCUCUCUGUGAUAGGCCCGUCCGAUCUGUAGAGAUGCGGUGGAAUCCUGGUUUACUCAAAACGGUUCUAGAUUCCUCUGUUCUUCCCUUAUUUUUUGUUUCGAUUACUUAGUUUGCACGUUAGGGGCCUAUGAAGUUUAUGUGCUCGGAUCCUUUAGUGAAACUGAUCUGUUUACUCAGAUGUGCUCGGAUCCUUCAGUGAAACUGAUCUGUUUACUCAGAUCUGCUGGUAGCUAACAGGUUCAGGGUAGUUAUGUUGAUGGUCUAGUUUUGGUAGUUUCAUUGUCGAUUUCUGUCCAUUUUUGUCAUGUUCUGUCCAUAAAAAUACUAUCUGUGCUUCUUCAUAUCUUGUAAUAUGAAUUCAUUUGACAAACUAUGCAUUUCUUUUAGAGUGUUUGUCUAAAUUAAUCUUCUGGUAUAUCCCUAUGCCAGUCUGUUAAUAUGUCUGUAUUAUAGUGUUUUGUUUGAGGUGGUAAUGUACAUGGUGCACCCUGCAGUUUUUCAUGUCUAAUAUUGAAUCUCCUUGUUUGCUGUAUGUAUUAAGGAUUAGUUUCACUUCAAAUAGCUUACUGCUGAUGCUUUCUUGUUUGUUUAAUAUGCUGUGUAAUCAUGUUGACCCUGAGGUUUGUAAGAAUUCCUCUUAUUUGAUUAUUGCAUGGAUUAGUGUCCUGAAGGAUAUGGCUCCUUUGUACAAUUAAGAUAAUUCACUUUUUUUUCUCAACUUUUAUAUGCUUACUAGCCCAUUAGGUUGUGUAAACAUUAGAGUGCUUUAGCCUGGUAAAGAUGAGUUAAGCAUUUUAAAUAAAUUUUUGGAUUUGGUUGAUAUCAUCCUUAACACCUGCAUUUAAACAAUUUGUCUCUUUUGAUCCUGACUAUUACAGUGGGUGUUACUUUCUUUAGUCAUUCUGUGGUAUCAAAGUUUCUGGUGUAGUUGUGUAAUUAUGGUUUUGGUUGGAUUCUUACUAGUAUUUUCUACCUUUAAACAGCAGGAAAUUAUAUACAUAUUUGUAGUGUGAUCUUCAUAAGAAGUCAAGAUGGUGAAGUUCACAGCGGAAGAGCUCCGUGCCAUCAUGGACAAAAAGAACAACAUUCGUAAUAUGUCCGUUAUUGCUCAUGUGGACCACGGUAUGUUAAGAACAGUGUUUAAUUAAAUGUUAUGCAUACCUGUUCCUCGACAUUUUUCAGGCUUUUCAAUUUUAGCAAUUGUUUUUUUUCAGUAUUAAAUCUCUGAAUUGUUCUUGCCAGUGAAUGCGAUUCAUGCUGCGUUAGCUAUCACAGACCUAUUUUACAUAUGUAGAAAUAUUCAUUUCAUGUUGGAAAUAGGCUUAUUGUUCUUUUGUAAUUAAUGUAUUGGUUUAUCUCUAGAUAUUGCAGUGUAUAGUAUCUGUUUACUAUGUGUUUUAUAUUGGGAUGUAUUGUUGUCUUUGUUAACUUGUGAGAGGUUGUCUAUCCCUAAUGUUGUACUAUUCUUGAUGCAUCUUCGGACUGACUUUUAAGUUCCACACUAUAGUCUUACAUCUCAUUAAUUCUUUGCAGGCAAGUCUACCCUUACAGAUUCCCUUGUGGCAGCUGCUGGGAUUAUUGCCCAGGAAGUUGCUGGUGAUGUCCGCAUGACUGAUACACGUGCAGAUGAAGCAGAGCGUGGUAUUACAAUCAAAUCCACCGGUAUUUCUCUGUACUAUGAGAUGACUGAUGAGUCACUGAAGAGUUACAAGGGUGAGAGAGAUGGUAACCAGUACUUGAUCAACCUUAUCGACUCACCUGGGCACGUUGAUUUUUCUUCGGAAGUCACAGCUGCCCUUCGUAUCACCGAUGGUGCUCUAGUGGUGGUUGACUGUAUUGAAGGUGUCUGUGUGCAAACUGAAACUGUGCUCCGCCAGGCUCUUGGUGAGAGGAUUAGGCCAGUGCUUACUGUGAACAAGAUGGACAGGUGUUUCCUUGAGCUUCAGGUUGAGGGUGAGGAAGCCUACCAGACUUUCUCCCGUGUCAUUGAGAAUGCCAAUGUCAUUAUGGCAACAUAUGAAGAUAAGCUCCUUGGUGAUGUCCAAGUCUACCCGGAGAAGGGAACUGUUGCUUUCUCUGCUGGUCUGCACGGCUGGGCCUUUACCCUCACCAACUUUGCCAAGAUGUAUGCUUCGAAGUUUGGAGUUGAUGAAACUAAGAUGAUGGAGAGGCUCUGGGGUGAGAACUUCUUUGACCCAGCCACAAAGAAGUGGACCACCAAGAACACAGGCUCUGCUACCUGCAAGAGAGGAUUUGUUCAGUUCUGCUAUGAGCCAAUCAAGCAAAUCAUCAACACCUGCAUGAAUGACCAGAAGGAUAAGUUGUGGCCCAUGCUUCAAAAGCUUAAUGUUACCAUGAAGUCUGAUGAGAAGGAAUUGGUUGGCAAGGCUUUGAUGAAGCGUGUUAUGCAAACUUGGCUUCCAGCUAGUACUGCACUGCUUGAGAUGAUGAUAUUCCACCUUCCUUCCCCAUCAAAGGCACAAAAGUAUCGUGUGGAGAACUUGUACGAGGGACCCCUUGAUGAUAUCUAUGCUACUGCUAUCAGGAACUGUGAUCCGGAGGGUCCUCUUAUGCUGUAUGUUUCUAAGAUGAUUCCAGCAUCUGACAAGGGCAGGUUCUUCGCCUUUGGUCGUGUCUUCUCUGGGAAGGUUGCUACUGGUAUGAAGGUUAGGAUCAUGGGUCCCAACUAUGUCCCUGGCCAGAAGAAGGAUCUGUACGUCAAGAGUGUCCAGCGUACUGUUAUCUGGAUGGGAAAGAAACAAGAGUCUGUUGAGGAUGUUCCUUGUGGUAACACUGUUGCUAUGGUUGGUCUGGAUCAGUUCAUCACGAAGAAUGCUACACUCACCAAUGAGAAGGAGGUUGAUGCAUGCCCAAUCAGAGCAAUGAAGUUCUCUGUCUCCCCUGUUGUGCGCGUUGCUGUUCAGUGCAAGGUUGCCUCUGACCUACCCAAGCUCGUUGAAGGUUUGAAGCGUCUGGCAAAGUCUGAUCCUAUGGUCCUCUGUACAAUUGAAGAAUCUGGUGAGCAUAUUAUUGCUGGAGCUGGUGAGCUUCACCUUGAGAUUUGCCUGAAGGAUCUGCAGGAAGACUUCAUGGGUGGUGCUGAAAUUAUUGUUUCUCCUCCUGUUGUCUCUUUCCGUGAAACUGUUCUUGAGAAAUCCUGCCGAACAGUCAUGAGCAAGUCCCCCAACAAGCACAACCGUCUUUACAUGGAAGCCCGUCCCUUGGAAGAGGGUCUCCCUGAGGCUAUUGAUGAGGGCCGCAUUGGUCCACGUGAUGAUCCCAAGGUUCGCUCCAAGAUCCUCUCUGAGGAGUUUGGUUGGGACAAGGAUCUUGCCAAGAAGAUUUGGUGCUUUGGACCUGAGACCACUGGCCCGAACAUGGUUGUUGAUAUGUGUAAGGGAGUGCAGUACCUCAAUGAAAUCAAGGAUUCUGUUGUGGCUGGCUUCCAGUGGGCCUCAAAGGAGGGUGCACUGGCUGAGGAGAACAUGCGUGGCAUCUGCUUUGAGGUCUGUGAUGUUGUUCUUCAUGCUGAUGCAAUUCACAGGGGUGGUGGCCAGGUCAUUCCAACUGCCAGGAGGGUUAUUUAUGCUUCUCAGCUCACUGCCAAGCCAAGGCUGCUCGAGCCAGUUUACCUUGUGGAGAUCCAGGCCCCAGAAAAUGCACUUGGUGGUAUCUAUGGUGUUCUGAACCAGAAGAGAGGGCACGUGUUUGAGGAGAUGCAGAGGCCUGGUACCCCGCUCUACAACAUCAAGGCUUACCUCCCUGUCAUCGAGUCCUUUGGGUUCUCCAGCCAACUGAGGGCUGCAACCUCUGGCCAGGCGUUCCCUCAGUGUGUGUUUGACCACUGGGACAUGAUGGGCUCUGAUCCUCUGGAGGCUGGCUCCCAGGCUGCUCAGCUGGUGUUGGAUAUCCGCAAGAGGAAGGGUCUCAAGGAGCAGAUGACCCCUCUUUCUGAGUUCGAGGACAAGCUCUAAAUUUUGGUGGUUUGUGCUGCUGGU
rnacentral:lncRNA from 1 species